UCUUAUUUUUAAAAAUAAAAUUACAGAAAUAGAAACAACAACUAUGUUUAAUAUUAGUGUUUUUAUUUUCUGUUUUUUUAAAGUCACUUUCAGUAUUUCUAGAAAAAAAAUCAAAGUACGAAAUCCUUACUUUCAAUAUUUUCAAAAGCAAAAAACUCGUGACUUUGACUUUCAACACAGCCCCCACCACACUGCUACCAUUAUUGUCGCUGCUGCUACCAUUGUUGUUGCCAUUGCCACCCCCCUCGCCACCGACACUGCUGUCCCUACCAUCAUAACCACCUUCGCCAUAUCACUAUCAGCUCCACCACCACUAUCGUUGCCAUCACUAUCGCUACCAUCACCACCUUCACCAUAGCUAUUGCCUUUGCAUCACUAUCGCUACCAUCACUACCUCCACCAUCACCACCUCCACCACACCACCUGCACCAUAUACUAUCAUUGCCACCACCAUUGCUUCAUCUCCACCACACACUGCCGCCAACACCACCGUCUCCACUACCUCCUAUGCAAACUUACCACCAUGCCCAUCACCAUUGAUAUGUUUAUUUUUAAUAAAUAAUCGACUAUACCAAAUAUAUAUAUAUAUUACAAUUUAGAAAAGAGGGAAACAAAAUUUUUAUUUUUCUAUUUCUGAAAAUUAAAACAAUGAAAAUGAUUCCAAACAAAAUUUUAGCACUUUUAGUGAGAUACAAAAAGCAUGCUAAAGCCUUCCAAGAAAAUGUACAUCUUCUAGAAGGUAUUUAUGCAUAUAAGGAUUUUCGAUGAAGUUGAUGACUGCAAGUCCAAUGAAUUCAGCAACAUACCUAGCAUGACUUUUUUCUCUACCAAGAGGAAGCUACGUACGUCAACGUUCAAUUAAAGCACCAACAAAAGGAACUUGCUUCAUUCAGGCAAAGAAACAUGCAGAAUUAGAGUACAGGAAGCAAAGGCAGGAAAAGGGAAGGACAUAUCUAUUUCUCACUUUAGGUCAUUCAGUGAACAAUAUUAAUGAAGCAUCUUCAAAUUUCUAGAAGAAAUAAACUGACAUGGUAAGUGCCUGAUGCAUGACAAGGAUAAGAAGAGGUUCCUUGGUCAAAUUUUGAAACGAAAGAUAAAAAAGGACUGCAAGUUUAUCCUGUAGGUUGUUCAGCUAUCUUCAAGUCCAGUAAGUAAUUGAACACCACACCUCCCUUCCCUCAUUAAUUUCGGUCAUGGAGCAUAGACGAUUCUACUUUUGAGUUUGUUCUUCAAAAAUAAACUUUAGACAAGACACCUACUGAAAAUGGAGGACCAAGGUCUGCCAAACCGUGCUGAACCGGCCGGUUCAAGGCGUACCGAACUGGACCGGUCAAGGACUAGCACGGUCCCGACUAUUAAAUGGGUUACCCCCACCCCUCACACUAUUGAACCCUCCUGGCUCACUCGCCUCUGACUCAAUUUCGUGCUACUAAAUCAAGAUAGGGCGAUUCGCUCAAUAAAUCCCUCUCCGCACUCCGACGCCCACUCAAUGGUUCGAGACUCGAACGAGCCACCCCUCGGUCGUAUCGAUGGCUCUCUAAUGGACCCUCACCUCGCCCCGUACUUGCAACCAUCGAUGCUACCUGCCUGCAUCCCCUCCCCUUUCUCCUUCUUAGAGCUAAUCAUGGGCCAAGUUUUGGGCCUCAACUUUAUUAUUUUUAGUCGGACUUUGAGCCGAGUCUAUUUAAAUUUUAACAUUUUCUAUGCCUAAGCCUAAUCCAUGAUCAGCUUACUCCCUCCACCUCUUUCUCUCUCGCGCAAGUUUAGGGUUAGAGUUUCAAGCCCUCUCUCUUUUGAGCCUCCUACCUCCAACAACAAGAGCUUUCUAGCGCUCUCUCUCUCUCUCUCUCUCUCUCUCUUAGCCUCUCUCCCCCUCCCUCUCCCUCCCUCCCUCUCUCGCCCACUUUUCCUCUCUCCUUCUCCCUCUCCAGCUCUCCCUAUAUUGGUAUGCUUCAAAAUGGCAUGGUACGGAUCUGCACUGUGUUGAACCAAUCAUCAACCGGUACACCCAUCAGUAUUGAUUCGGCAAACCUUGAACCACUAGGGUCAUUAAGAGUAAACAUAAAGCUUUAUACUUCUCAUUUACAGAAUUCUAUGACCCCACCUGCAUCAUAUGAUUUAAAUUCUAGGAUAUGUACCAUCCAUGAACCUCUGAUUGCUAGGUGGAGGCGUACAGCCACCAAGGCAACUCCCAUCUAAUACAAUAAAAGAUUAUUUUAAUCAUCAUCUUUCGCUAUUUUUUUUCUUUUGAAGACCAAGCAGAGACAUUGACCAUUAUUGCUCAUGGAGAUGGAAAUCUUCCAAACCUGAACUAAAAUUUUAGACACCUGUUCUCCCUAGCAAAUAUAUGAGAAAAUUAGACUUCCUAUGCAUUCCGGUUACGAAUCCUAUUAGGACUUCAUGAACUAUUUGGAAAUGUAUUGUACAAAAAAGAUAAGUUCUUGAGUUAUGACAGAGGCUAUAGCUAGAUACAGAAAUAAUAUAGGCAGUGAGAGGACCCAUGUGGGUGUAUGCAGUCCUAUAUGAGUUGUGUGCUAGGAAGAUCUUGGGUAUUUAAGCAAGCAUAUCCAAAAAGCCCAAAGUAUAACUUCUAGCUUCCUUUUUUUGUGAUGUUUUGAGUCACAGCAAAUGGUACCGCCAAUUGCAUCAAGGUCCACGUCGACUAGGAGACACUAUAGCACAAGCCCUUAUAGGGCUAACCAUGUUCUGGUCAUGGUGUUUCUAAUUUGUUUCUAAUUAGACCCUUUCUUUAGCGAGGAAGCCAAGGCUUAGACAAGGGGAGCAUGUGGGCACCCAUGAGGGUGUUCAGUCCCGCAUCAGUUAUGCACUAGGAAGAUCCUAGGUACUUGAGCAACCCAAAAAAAGCCAAAAUAAUAUAACUUUUAGCUAGUUUUUCUGGGUGAGGUCCUGAGUCAUUACAAAAAUAUAUUGUUGGAACAAAGCUCCUCUUCAGUUAUAGAUGUAACCACAUAAGUAGUUCCUAUGCCAAGGUGUGCAGCACUAAAGGAACUACCAGCAUCUACUUUUACAACUUUCCUUUCUCAGGGUUUAUCAAAUUAUGUUCAGUUGACCAGUGUUAAUAAUCUAAUAGUGUAUGGCCUAAAUUUAUCAGAAAAAGCAUUAAAACGUUUUCAAAUCAUCACAUUUCUAAGAUCUACCAGGAACUAAAUUUUAGAGUUGCAGCCUUCAAGUUUCUCCUGACCACCACUUUAAGGCAAUCAUAACUGCUUACAAACUCUUCACUAUGCAUCACAAAUGAAUGUCUGCUUGAAAAAAAAAAAAAUAUAUCAUUCAAAUGAUAGGUCUCUUUCCAUUCUUACACAAGAAUGAAUUAUAGCCUAUUCAAAAAAGGUUUUUGCACAAUACAGCAGAUCAUAACGUCCAGAUUCACUUGUGCAAACCAACUCUUUUGCCGAUUUAUACAGCUAAAAAUGCAUAUAUAUAUAUAUAUAUAUAUAAAACCAGAAAAUGGAAUGAUUUUGAAGGGAAAACAAGACAAAAAAUCACAUAGAAGCAGGGAUGCAAAUAUAUGAAUAUAGAAGCGUAAAGGUAAAACAGAACAGAGAAUGACAGAAAAUUUUAAAAAAUUAACUUGGUACCAUUGAUCACAAAUGUACGAAUAAACAAUCCAAAACUCACCUGGAUGACAGAAGAGCAUAAUAUCGAUGCCGCCUGCUGGCUGAAUUUGCUUUUCAACCUCCACAGCAUGUUCAAGACAAAAAACAUGCAUUCGAGAAGAAUCUUUGUCACAUCUUCGCAUGGCUGGUAUGCCAGAAUUCAUCAUUCCAGUAUCAACAUUUAUUGAUUGUGUUGUUAUAGCAGUUCGUUUUGUUGAUUCAGAUAAGUCACAGCAGAAAUCAGGUUGAAUCGUGUGAUCUUCAGAACCAAAAGAUGGGUUUCCCAUUUUCAUGUUGUUCUCAUGGUUGUCAGCAGUUUCAGUAGCAUGACAACCAUCUUCCACUUCCCUGUAACUAAAAUCCAUCGGUUCCUCCAUUGAUUUUAUAGAACUAUUAGAAGUUGUGAUUUUCCUAUUAUCAUCUAAACUAUCUGUUCCAGCAGACUUUGCAUUUUCUGACUCAUUACUACCACAGAACUCCAAUUUCAGCUGGCAUUUCUCACCAGCACUAACAUUUGUCAGACUACUUGGAUCAUCUGAGCCACCGUCAUUAUGAGAAUUUUGAGCAAAUGUUCGAUUUUGGCAGUCUGCUCCAACCAAGGACAAAUCUAUCUCCUUCUGUGAAUCCUUACUUGAACAUAACUUUUGCAAUUCAACUCCAAAGUUUGGAUGUUCAAUUGGUUUACAUGAUGAUGGGGAGCCUUUAGUAUCAUUUUUAUCAGUACAAGCAGAUUUCUCAUGCAAAACUUCUUCCUCAGUGUCUGAUGUAUCCCCAUAGGCAGAAGCCAGAAGAUCAAGCGCAGAGAUGCCUCUCUGGCCUGUAUUAUCAGAAAAGACUUCAAAACUCUGUUCUGAAACCUGUCCUGAAUAUGUGCUACAGUGAACCCAGUAAUCAUCCCCUGCAUCUUCAGUAUGCCUUCCUAUUUGUCCUACACAGAGUUAAGUACUUAGGAAAGAAGAGGUAAAAAUGAUAUGCAACUUUUCAUCUAAGGAACACAAUAAACCAGUGAUUAGAAAUACAUGCUUAAUUCGCUAUUUUAUAUANNNNNNNNNNNNNNNNNNNNNNNNNNNNNNNNNNNNNNNNNNNNNNNNUAUAUUGCGUGACCCCUUUGUCAGAUGCAAGGAAAAACUGUCUGAAAGUUCAAAUUUUAAACUCAGCAAAAGAGCCAAGAUGUCGGCAAUAUGUCAUAUUUCAAACUCUAAACUCAGAAAAGAUAUAAGAUGCUGAGAAUAUGUCAUAUUUCAAACUCUUUCUUCUGCUGAAAGAACUAUGAGUCUUCCAUCAAUAUUUCUCCUAGCAAUAUUCAUAUAAAAGCAACAAAUUGAAAUCAUAAAUACAUGAAGUAUUUAAUUUUCCAAAUCACCUUGCAAGUUUCUCCCAGAUCAAACAAGCAAGUGGUUCUGUGAACAGAAUAAAAGGUAAAUCCAACAGCAUGAGAUGGUUACAUAAUCGAGCCUGUAUAUUUUAUAGAAAACAGUACAAUGGGAGGUACCGACUACUGACAAGACUUCUUCAUAUAACAAUUUCCCACAUAUUACCACAUACCAAUUUACAAACAACUAAUACGUGGAAUUAAUUUGGAAUGACCUAUAAAUCAUAAAUACAGACCUUGUCACAGUGACAACACCUCAUGCCCUUUUACACUAGUGUUAUGGUUGUAGUACAGGCGUGAAAUGUAGCCAGGUUAACAGGCUUCAUUUUUUAUACCAUUGUUCUGAUUACAGUUUAUAUUGCAUCAUGUAAACAUAUGGUAUCUACACAUGUGAGUUUCAUUCCUUUUGUUAAUUUUCUUUUAUUGAUGUUCAGUAUGUUGUUGUUGUUCAUUACGUCUGAUAUGAUGAUUGUGAUAGGUCUGAUAGUGAUCGGGAUGGAGGUCGAUGUAUGCAUGUGCAACCAAAUGAUGCAGAGCAUAUGAUGGAUAAUGGAAGAGGAAGUCAGACUUGAAUAGUUGGGUAUCAAAAUGUUCGUACAUGUGUGCAUGGGCAGCUACUGAUUUCCACGUGAUCACCCAUAUAUCUGAAGCCUAGAGGGCAAUAUUUUGUUAUCAUAGUGCAAUGCACCACUUGUAUUCACUCCUUGCCUUCUGUCCACAAUCAUUUUUGGCUUUUUCCAUUACACAAGCCUCUUGGUCAUCUCUGUUGAUAUAUCCCAAGGUUGGUGUAUUGGUGGUUUAGAUGAUCGUAUUACUGGCUAAUACAUGAAGUAGAGGAAUGGAGGAUCUACACUUCACGAGCUAGAUCGAGCAUUAAAUGUCAAGAAGAGGUAACUUUAAAUAUGACCACAAUGUUUCAAUCCCUUGUACAUCAUUGGCUGAAGCUACAUCUCCAUGCUUGAUCAAGGUGAGGGAUGGAUUGGUGAUGAUGGAUCUGCGGACAUUAUAUGUAGCACUUUGCAAAAUUUACAUAUAACACGGUGUAAUAUUUUGUUGCACUUCAGAUAUUAGUAAUAGCGAUUGGUUACCAUAGUGUACAUUGUUACUACUUACUAAUAUAUGCCAACGUACAAUGGAUAACGAAAUUCUGAAUGACUGAAUUCGACGUUAUAUUUGCAUGGGCCUUAGAAAUGUUCAAAGUACUUAGGCACUUUCUUUCAAUUAUGCAACUCACACAGUCACACAUGUGUGAUAGUGAUUAGUGACAACCAGCCAAGCCACAAAAGUGACAUGUGAAUGACUUGCUUUCUUUGACAUAUAAGAAUACCAUANNNNNNNNNNNNNNNNNNNNUAUAUUUGCAUGGGCCUUAGAAAUGUUCAAAGUACUUAGGCACUUUCUUUCAAUUAUGCAACUCACACAGUCACACAUGUGUGAUAGUGAUUAGUGACAACCAGCCAAGCCACAAAAGUGACAUGUGAAUGACUUGCUUUCUUUGACAUAUAAGAAUACCAUAAUACAUGAUUGGAGAGGAUAGAAGAUGAAGAUAACGAGAUAACGAAUAUGCCUAUUAUACACCUUGGUGCACUUUGAGAAAUUUGUCUCCGGAACUUAGUUGAUGUCAAUUAAUCUGCAUUUGUAUGAACUAUCAAACUUAUGUUAUGGAACUUGGCCAAUUUUUCCUUUAUAUCAUCAUUACGAAUAAGUAUAAACUUUUUAUGUGACACAUGCCAGAACACUUCAUAGUUUACUUGAUUAUAAUGACAGAAUCUAACUUGCUUCAUCCUCUACUACCAUAAGCCGAAUUUUCCCUACCACUCUUCUGGACAUAACAUACAUUAUGAUAAAUAGUAUAAUCAAGUAAAUUUUGAUGUGUAAUAUAAUAAAUAGUUUUACAGUAUAUACAUAUUAUAAGAUUACAAAGCAUUUAUAUUUUAUAAUAACUCAUACAUUAUAUAAUAUUUUAUAUUUAUAAAAUUUAUAUAUAUUAACAUAUAAUAAUAUCCUAUAGCAAUAUAAUAUAGAACUUAUAUUCUGUAGUGUAUUUUUAAUAUAUUAAAAAUAAUAUGUUAUUGUUUAUAUACAAUAACUCUAUGAUAUCUAUUCAAUCACAAUAUUAUAUGCUAAUAUUAGAAAAGUUUAGCCUUACUACAUAUUUAUGCAAUAUAACAAAGAUAUUAUAAUUUCUUACCCUUUUUAUUUUUAUAAUUAAUAUCAUUCAUUGUCAUAAUAGUAUUUCAAUUAUUCUCCAAAACAAUCUAUAUUACAAACAAAUGGAGAACAGUUGGUAUUACAGGGGCCAAGAUUAGAAAAUUUCACCUUUUUGGUACCUAUCCUCAUUUUAUCCAAAUACCAUUUUCUUAUCCUCAAAAUGCGUCCAAACAACAAAAAAAACAACAAAACCACAAUCAUUACAUGGAAUAAAAGCUUUAAUCCCAAACAAAAAUAAGGACCAAUCCCAAGUAAACCUACCCUUUUUUAACCCCACCCAGGAUAAAGCCUAUUCAUACUCAAAAUCCUAAUUCCCUGUCCAAACUGGGCCUUCGUGCUCCUAGAAACAAUUUUCUAUCUUCUUCUCUAAAUCUUCUAGGUGGUUCCCUAAGUGAGCAGGGGUCUGCACCUAGCCACCAACCCAAUGUCACCCUAAAACCACCAGCUGACUACUUGACCUGUCAACUUUGAUAUAUUCUUUUUAAGUCUUGUUCAAGAUACAAAACUAAGACAUAAAAAUGACUUGUGCACCAAGAAUCUCGCUUCUAAAAGAGAACCAUCAAUAAGUAUAAGGGCAUAAGAAUCAUUGUAAUAUGUUUAGAAACAGAAAACAUGUGAAAUAAUGCAGCGCACAAUUUAAUUUACAGUAUCUAUGCCUUUUAAGUUCUAAGAAACAACAAAGAGAAAAACCAUAGAACCUACAAAAAAAAUAAAGAAGAAAAACAAAAAAAGACUGCUCAUCGGACUAAUAAUGACAAUUCAGAAGUCCCAGAUGCUUGUUCUUUGUUUAUAUAUGCUGAUUGACAAGACAGAAAGAGGCCAUGAAGCACACUAGGAUUAUGUGAGACAUGUAUCAGCAAAUUUGAACAAUUAAUCUAAAGUGAUUUCAUUACAACUAUCUUUAUACUCUUCUCAUUUUAUUAGUGAAACAACAAAGAGAAAAACCAUAGAACCUACAAAAAAAAAAGAAGAAAAAAGAAAAAAAGAACUGUUCAUCAGACUAAUAAUGACAAUUCAGAAGUCCCAGAUGCUUGUUCUUUGUUUAUAUAUGCUGAUUGACAAGACAGAAAGAGGCCAUGAAGCGCACUAGGAUUAUGUGAGACAUGUAUCAGCAAAUUUGAACAAUUAAUCUAAUGUGAUUUCAUUACAACUAUCUUUAUACUCUUCUCAUUUUACUAGUGAAAUCAAAAUUAGGUAAGCAUGGAAAUAACUUCUUGAGAAUGUUGACAGAUAUAAACUAUUAAAUAGAACAAUGGAUAUCAAUAUAAAUCAUGAAGAAUGCUAUUAAGAGAUAGAUGUCCAUUGAACAUAUCCACAAGUAUGAAUGUCAUCAGAGAGAAAGAGAGAGAACAAGAAUAGUACAUUCAAAUGCUGGAGCUUACCUGAACCUGAAACCAGAUUAGAACCGUCUAUCUUCCUGCUUGUGUCUUUAUUGAUACCACUUACUUCUCCAGAACCAUUAAUAUGACCACUAAGGAUACCACAAUCAGCGGACAUAAGGUAUUUCGCUGCUGCUUCUCUUGGUUGAAUGACAGCCACACAUGCAAAGCUCAAAAUUCCACAUGUAACACAUGACAAUAGUCCUUGAUCUAGCAGCCCAUCGCCUUGGAGCGUACCUUCUUUUUCACCUUCCACAUUCUGUGAGUCUGAAGAAGAAGAGUAGAAAUCAGCAGUACCAAAUUUGCUGCAUGUUGCUGAUGAAAUCAUCUUUCCUUGCCAAACAGAUACAGAAUUUCCUUUAAGUGAACAUAAACCACUCAUGUUUCUGAUCCCUGCAUUCCAGCCUGGCGUAAUAUCAUCAGAAGGCAAAAGUCUUGAUGCUUCCAUUGCUUCCUCGUGACUGCAUAAACCAACUGAUAAUCUUGGUUUCGCCUUUAAUCUGACAAGUGAAUUUGAACAUAAAGGACUGUCGGGUGCAUUUUGUGGAAGUACUAUGCAGGAAGAUCCUUUAUCAAGAAGAAAACUAAGUAGGUGAUUAUUUUGAAUCACAUUCUGAACAAAUAUGUUCUUGACCAUCUCUUCUCCAUCUCCUUUCAUUUUAUCUUUCAGUCUAGAACUCCGUGGUUCACUUCUGCUGCCCCUGGGCAUCCUAAAAGAAAGAAAAGAAAGAAAGGCUAUUCUUAUUACAUUAACAAUAGAAGAUAAUUAAAACAUCUAGAUUCCUUUUUUUUGGAAACUUGACUUAGUAGGGCAUAAAGCAAAAAGGACAACAAUUUUGUUGAUAUUCAAAAUAAAACAGCAUUGCAAAACUCAGAUCCCAUGUUCUCAACAGCUUUAAGUGAAUCAAACUGAAAAGAAAACUGGCAUGGACUAUUCCUCAACAGCAGAACCACGUGGAGCCAAAAAUAUGUUAUAGGCAAAAGAUAUAGAGCAGAAGAACCACACGUUUUGACAAAACUAAUAACUACAGGUGUUGUUAAAAAUAUAAUGUAUAUUAACAUACCUAAGAGAGUAAGAACUAUGCAGAUAAAUGAUGCUUCACAGAGAUGCAUUCAGUUCCCAAAAAAUAUACUUAUUAUAUAUGGAGAUUUAAAUGGCAGUGCUGGUGGCUGUGCUGGCACAUGUGCUGGGCUGCCGAAACCCAAAAGAAAAAAGAUUGUAUGCCUCUUGAGUCAAAAUAUUUAAAAAAUAAUAAUACAAGAUCCAAGAUAAAACAUACAGCAGCUAAUUGUGCAUGUUCUUCUUAUUAUGAUCCAAAUCAAUACUAAAGCGACUGUUAGUUGGAGAGGCCCAGAAAGAAAAAAAGAGAGCAGUUUGGUUAUAUGGAUGAAAAAGAUCAAAGAUAAGUUCAUGAGGUGAAGAAACAAAAAAAAUAAUUAAUAUUUAUGAUAUUACUGAUUUAUCGAAGAAAGGUUUAUGGUGACUAGGAAAAUCCCACAGAAGUUACAAAAGCAAAACUUAGGAUACUGCUUCGAAAUCAAAUUCGCUUGUAAAAGUUGUUCGAGGAUUGAGCCGAUAAUACAGGGAGAUCAUUAAAUUAUAACCAUAUAGUAUGUUAUGUGAUCCUAUAAAAUUGCUCCAAAGAGUAAUAUAAGAAGUCAGUCUUAAAAUUUAUACAAAAGUAAAGUUCAGCAAGAUCAAUAAAAAUAUUAGUCUCCACAAACAUUCCAGAAGAGGCAUAAAGUAGAUUUUAUACCAUGUGUAUUUAUUGAAAAAUGAAAUGCACAUAUGGAUAUUAAUAUGACAACAACAAACUGGUUUUUAUUACAAUUUGACCUUAUGGCAUUUUGUGCCUUAGAGACGAAUGCAAUCCUGUCUUUUUUCCCUCUUGUAUAGACUCUUUUCAAGCCUGGGGGAACUCCAUGGUCACCACAAGUUAGAACUAUGAAAGUGAAGUAGGUCUCCCUCCCCACAUUUUUUUAAGUUGAGGGAAAACCAAUAGUAAUUCAUUUUAAAACAGUGAAAACAUUAAUGAAGUGAUAUGUAGAUUUAACUUUGUAAAGUUUAAAGACCCAUAUAUUGAAACAUGAGAAAUAAGAAGCAUGUGAAAACACAUGAAAUGGAACAUUUAGUUAUUAGCUGUAGCAGUUUAAUGAUCUGAUCAUAAACAAGUGUCAUGAAUGAAGCACCAUAAAAUUUAAAAAAAGGGACAAUAAACAGAAAAGCAUAUGUUUAGUGAUAAAAAGGUAAGCCAAAACAAUGAACAAAUAUUAUGGUUCUAGGCUAAAGCCAAAUUUUCGAGUUUUUCCCAACUUUGCAACUUUAGUUACUUUGGGUCUUAGUUCUGUCGAAUACCAUGGUUUCAGUUUCAGACACCUUCAGCUGUAACAAACAGAGAUCAAAUGGUCAUAUUAAAUUAGAAACUAGUUUUCAGUUUAAUAUUUUGGUCAAUUUUAUAUUUCUUCUUUUUUUGUUGAAUCAAUCAUGAUUGAUCAAGUCUUCGGAAUUUUUAAAGCAUUUCCUAAGAUCAAACUUAAGUUUUUGAAUCAGAUGCUUCAUGAAAUUGAGAUAAAAACUAAAUUUGUUUAAUCAUUUCAUAAUUGGUAGUACAAAUUUUUUGCAUAGUAAGCAAAACCUUAAAAGUUCUAUUUAUAUUUUACAAAGUCUGCAUAUCAGGAAGCAUUUUUGGUAAAAUUAACAAAUGUAAUUCUAGUUUUUUUUCACAAAUAUAAUUUUGAAAAUAUUGACAAGCAAGUUUGUUAUUACUCAAAUUGCCAAAUUUAAGGAUUAUUGUUUUAAAAAAAAGAAAAUUAUUAAUCAGAAGAACUAAAAUUAGGGUUUUCUUGACUUUGAAAACGAAUUUGUACAUGUGGAAAUUAAGAUUCUUAUCAAAAAAUAUUUGUUGAGAAUAGCAGCUGUUACUCCAACAUGAAUGCAUAUACUUGAUUUACAAAUAUUUCAAAAAAUAAAUAUGUUAAUUUAAAUGAUGUCUUAUUAUUUUUAAUGUGUAUUUUCUUGUAAAUUUUCUAUAUUUGUACUUAUAUCAAUUUUCAACAACUUCAUAAAACUUUUUAGAAGGUUCUGAACUAAAUUCAUCAACUUUUAUUUAGCUAGUAUGCUUUUCUGAUUUGUUUCCCUGGGUGGCCCCUUUUCUUGCUUUUUUUUUGUAUUAUUUGUUUUUAGUUACAAAAGGAAACUCCUAAAUCCAGAGUUAAAACUAUUGAAAGAUUUUGCUGGCCUUGGAUGAAAACCAAAAUCAGAACCUAGAUUUCAAAUCACAAAACAAUCGAUUGAACCAUAUUAUGCCAAUUGAUUUAUAUUAUUAUUCUAUGUAUAACUCUUGAAGUUCAUAUCAGAAAUCCAUGAAAACAAUUUCAGGAUUUCUGAAAGUUUGUGUUCUCAAAUGCAUUAUUAUGUAAUAAUUCACUAGUCAUUUGACUGGGUUGUUCCAAGUCAAGAUGUAGCUCUCACUCCUCGCAGAGGAAAAAUCCGGCUAGACCAUCCAAUUUGAUAUUAUAGUACAUAAACAACCUUCAAUUUAAAGCUAACUCAAACCCCUACAGGUAGUUAUCUAAAUUAAGAUUUCAGAUAUUGUCUAUUGUGUGAGUAUGGGUUAGUGAAAAUACAAUAUAUUUGGUACAGAUUGGCAAAGAAAGGUGCAAAACCUUUUGAAUACAAUAUAUAAAGAUAUGCUAAUAAAAACUAUUUUUUAAAAUUAUGAACUACAGAACAAAGUGUUGUUAGGAAAAAAAUUUGCAUGUUUUUAACCAUCAAAGGUUUUGACUCCUUUAAACACUCCACAAUGUAGCUAUAUUUGACAAGCCUAUUAUUUUGUAUAAUAUUAUUACCAACACUUUUUGUUUGUAGAGAAUCUUGUGUGAAAUUCUAGAAGCUAAAAAUCAAGACGUGUUUUCCUCUCCAACAAAAAAGUUAUACAUUUGCCAACAAUAUGGUGAUUGAUAUUAUGCUAACAUCCUUAUCUUGGUGAAACAUGAAGGCAGUUGGACAGUGGUAAGUGUACUUUCUCAUAUUUAUUAUUCACAAUGUGGUAUACAUAUGUUUGUUUUGUACUUCUUUUUAGCUUUGAGGUUUAUCAGGAUUACUUUCUAAUAUCUUAUCAAAACUUAACAAAAAUACUAUAUUAGAUCCUACAAAAAUAGUGCAUUUUUAAGUUCUAAAAAAAAUACAUGUUUAAAUUCUGAAUAAAAUAGUACGUUUUCAAGCUCUCUUUACUGUUCCUAAUAAAAAAUUAAGUUAACUUCCUUUCUAUUUUAUAUAAAUUUGGAACUAGAGAAUUUAUAUUUUGUUUCUUCUUUAUGUUUACGAUUUUAUAUUUUUAUACAGUGCUUUUUGGUCAUUCAACGAUCCGGUGAAGAGAAACAGGCACACACAAUGCACAUGGACAAGGGAAGAUAUAAUUGGUUAGGGAGAAAAGAAAAGGGGCACUAGAUAAAGGAAAUGAGACAAGCUCGACUAUAUAAGGUCUUGCAUCUUUACACCAAAAGUUUAAGUUACAGCUGGAUUUGGAUUUUGUAUCAAAGAUACGUGAAAUGUUACUCAUAGCAUUUGGUCCGGCAGAUCUACUACAAACAGGAUCAUGCAAACUGAGUAAUAUAUAUAUAUAUAUUAAUAUAUAUAUAUAUAUAUAUAUAUAUAUAUAUAUAUAAUAAACAGAGAGAGAGANNNNNNNNNNNNNNNNNNNNAUAUAUAUAUAUAUAUAUAUAUAUAUAUAUAUAUAUAUAUAUAUAUAUUAAAAACAGAGAGAGAGAGAGAGCACAGGAUCACAAGGGAAGGGAGGAAUCUCAGAAAUAAAAUGGAAGGGAGACAUGCACCUAUUCAUGAUUGGAGCCCUAUACUUCACCUGAAUGUGUCCAUUUCUAAAAUCAUAACUACACAAAAAAGUGGAGGUGUCCUUGCACAGUUGCCAUAUGUUUGUCAUACCCAGUGAUUGCUUCCUAUAGCUAUAUGAAUUUUCUUCCUCUCCACCUAUGUAGUCCUUUGAUAUUGAUUAUAAUCACCAAUUCAUAACAAAGGACAAUAUAAAGAGAUAGAAAACCACCAAUUCAUAACAAAGGACAAUAUAAAGAGAUAGAAAACCUAGUACUGCCAGUACUAUCAAAUACUCUGUCCAAUAAAGAUAAGUACGCAGAUACAAAAAAAUCAAACCAAAAUUGGAAGGGGGAAACUAUAAAAUCAAGACUGCAAUUAUAAUUAAAAUGCAUAUUUGUCUACAAAUCUUGCAAAGUAAAUUCUACUACUUAAAUCUAACCUUGUACACAAUGAUAGUGCAAGUUCAUAAAGAAGCUGAAAAUGAGACACCAUGGGAGGAUAGUUAAUUGAAGCCCUUCGAAUUGCAGCCUCUUUGGCUACCCUCAACCAUCCAGGAGUUGCAAUAUUUGCUGCCUCCCCACAAUUAAAUCCUACCGACAAGAAGAAAGAAGAUUUCAUUAUCUAAAUAAUGAUCCGAUAUUAGUUAUUAGAUUGAAAUGUCAGAACAUCAAACUAGUGUCUUAGAAAAUAUUGUUGUCGGAUAUCAAAUAUAGUCAUAGAAAUGUGCACAUUCAUAAGCAUAGUAAGAUUGAAUUAACUAGGGACAGCAAGAUGAUGAAUCAGGUAGAAAACGUUAUUAUCUAAUGAACAAAUACAGUUUUAGCUGUUUACUGAGUUUAAACUGUUCAAUUUAACUUCCUUCAAGAUGGAACAAACAUUAAAUAUAAACAUGUUGUGCAAACUUACAAUACCUUUUACUUAUCACUUUUGGAUGAAGGUCCAAGACAGCUAAAAAGCUAAACAAUAUAAGUCAGAGUUAUCCACUUUGCAGAACAUAGUGUAUCAAUUGGAUGAACGAACCAGAUUGAUGAAAACCAACGGCAGAGUAGGCAUUUAGUAACCGUACAGCAAAAGAAUACCUAAUGAACUCAAGGACAGACACAUAAUUGCCUAUGCACAAAUUCGUGCUAUAUUAUAGGUCCUAAGCUUCAACUCUUGCCAAAAUACCCAACCUUUUUUCCAUUAUUAGUCUCCACCAACCUCAUUCUCACUCGCACUCAUAUUUCCAGCCUAUUGUACUGGCAUGACAUGUGCUUUCCAAAUUUUAGACAUAGCAUUAACAUUACUACGAUCAUAUAGCAGUUUUUCUAAUAUGUAAAAUUGACAUGUAGCUGAAGUUAUCUUUCUUCUUUUCCUAAUGGCUGGUGGUUAUGAAACUUCCAACAUUUAAUAGCAUAUUCAAUUAUGUUAAUUCAUACUUUUGUUCCCAGUUAUACUCAGGAAGAUGAUAACAUAUAUGGUAAAUAACAAAUACAGAAAUGAAGAACAAAAAGGAAAAUUAAACAAAUAUGAAAAUAUGUAAAAUCCUAACAAAAACAGCUUCUGAAACUAGCAUAACCAAAGCAAAACAAAUAUAAAAUAUGCAACAAACAUGACCUUCAUCAAUUUACACAUCAUAUUUAACAUAUAGAUUUUCAGUCUCAAAUAUGGACAAUACAAUCUACACUCACACAUAACAAACUUCUUUUUUUAUUCAGAUAACAAGUUACUCUGGAAAAAGAAAGUACACUAGUUUCUUCUUUUAGGGCAAGUGCCCAUCUGUAGGAAGAGAGAAAGAAUAACAAAAAAUAAAAUGAAUGGACGGUCUGAGGAAGGAUUUUGAAAUCUUAGUAUGACAGGCAUUAUAGAAAUAGUUGGUGAGAAGCAUUCACAAAGCCGACCACAAAAAAAUGGGACAUGUCUAAAGGUUACAGUGUGAUCACAGCCUCAAAGGUUCAAAGCAAAGCAGCUUUAUGUAAAUCAUAAAUUCAUAUAGUAUCUAGAUGACACCAAUAGUUGAAGUAUCAAUUCAGAUGAUGAAUGUUGUACAUUUGUCCAAACUUCCACCAAAUUAUUAUUCAUAAUAAAGUGUUCCAAUUUUUCCUAGAGUUGUCAUCAAAAAUUGCAUGCACAAAUAAUGUCAACAAAGCAAAGGAAGUUUCUGCAUCUAUAAACUUCUGCUUAUGAAGAUUGUUUCUUCAAGCACACCCCAUAAUCUUAUCAUAUCCUCAUACCAUAAUCUUAAUUAUCAUAUUAGGGUUCACACCCUUCCCUUCUCUUGCACACCCUCAAACCAUAUGAACGUGAGAUCUCUAAUUUUCUCUCAGGCAUGACAUGUGGUUAUCAUGUUUAUUUCCGAUGUCUUUCUGUGUAUGUAUAUCAUCAUAUCUGACUGCGUACAUGUGCACAUUUCUAUUAUAUCCUGAUAUAUAUAAAAACUCCUCUUAUUAAAAAGACCCAAAAUGUUGGUUCUUGGUCAAAUCUAAAUGUUAGACUCGCAAAAAUGAUGCUAAGAAUCAAGGUUUUCUGUGCCAAACCCAUGUCAUCCAAUACCAGGCAUACCGUACUAACCUAAUAUAGUACCUUACUGCAACAACAUAUCGUACAACUACUGUCUCAUCUCCACAGUGCACCAUGUGUCAUUACAGACAUGUACCACAUUGAUGCUACCAGUAUGCUAACAGCAUGAUGUCUAAUACCAAGACCAAAAACCUUGCCAAGAACUCUCACUUGACUCCCGCUUGAUCGUCCAUCACAAAUUAGCCCCAAAUUUCACCAUUUUUAUCCCAAGCGAAAAACCGUUUUGGCACGACUGAGGCACUUGUACGGAAAAAAUAUAGGUUGUGAGAUUAAUUAUAUUGUAAAAUGCAGCAAAAGAAGGGAAGUGUUGGGAUGUUGGUUAGGAGUUAAUAAGAGGAUGCUAUAAAACUGUAGUUCUUUGCUUCUUUUUUUUGGAUAGCAUUGGCAUAAUUUUGCUCUGCUCCUUGAAGAACCUAAAGAGUCCAAAUACAAAUGCAUCCUCUGAGUCUACAUUAAUCCAUCCAUAUUGAGUAUUUACUAGGGGUGGCAAUCGAAUCGGGUCGGGUCAAAUAUGGGUCGGGUUGGAUGCGGUCGGGUCAAAAAAUCAUCAACCCAAACCCAAUCUGUUUAUUAAACGGGUCAAAAUUUCAAACCUAAAUCCGGCCUGUUUAUUAAACAAGUAACCCGACCCAACCCACAUAAUCCAUUUAUUAAACAGGUCAAGCCAAGUUAAGCAGGUUAUCCGGAUUUUUAAUGGGUUAAAUGGAUUUAAAUAAGUUAAACAGGUUAAGCGAGUUAGGUUAAAUAAGUCAGAAAUAGGUUAAACAGGUUUCAAAUAGAUUAAACAAGUUAAACGGGUUGGAUCAUAAUCCAACCCAAUUAUUAAACGGGUCAAAAUGGGUCAAAGGUUUAAACCUGAAUCCAACCCAUUUAAUAAACAGGUUUAGAUGGGUUGACCCAUUUACGACCUAAAUUUGUUUAUGUCAAACCCAAACCUGCUUCAAUCGUGUCAUUCACGGGUCGGAUUGACGGGCCAAGUCAUAAAUUGCCAUCCCUAGUAUUUACCGCAAAAAGAACAACUGUACUAGGGAUCCUAUUAUAGAUGCUCUAAGAAAAAGAAUAGCUUAAGAAAAAUCCCAAGUUAUAGAUGCCUACCAAGACUGAAUCCUGUAUGAUAAGAUCCUGGGAAAGUGACAACAAACUCUCCAGCAUUUUGCACCAAUCUGCAAUAAAGAAACAAAGACUUAUAUGCUCAUUAGUUAUGGAUUAAUAUAUUUGAAAAACUAGAAAAUAUAUGCCAAAACUAGAGAUAAUCAAAAAUUAAAAAAAAGGAAAAUAUGACAAACAUCACCUGCAGCAAGGGAUUCCAGCACCAGUAAGUACUUCAGGAGUCAUGACAGUGGUCUUCUCACCUAGUAAUGCAAAGGUCACUGCAAUCAAAUAUGCAAGUAGUUAGACAAUAUGUUCUCCUGAUCAACUAUUGGUCUACUAGAAGCAUAAACUUGUAAAAGACAAUAUUUGUAACCAAGAAAGACCACUCUAACACAUCACCUCAUGCAACAAACAAACUUAAUAUUGCAUCCAAAAUGGAUAGAUAGGUUUUAUCAUAUUACAUUAUUAAAAGCAAAUUAAAAGGGAAUAGUUUGUUAUUUUAGUAGAUUCUGGGGUUUGACGAGAGGGCAUUAGGAUCCCCUAAAAAGCAGCUACUAAACAACUACUCAUAACUCAUACCUUAAACCAGCAUGCCCUUGAAGGGUACUUCCAGAUGGUUUCAUGCAGCUGAGCCAAUUAAAUAAACUCCUGACUAGGGAAAAAGAACUUGCAAGCUAUUUUAGUCACGUGUUUUGUAUAUUCUGGCAAUGCCAUGUAUCAUUGCAUGUCAAUGCAUGCAAAUACCAUGUCACGGUGCCACAGACUGACCAACACCAACACAGUGUAAGUUACCAAUGCCAUGCAUUCUGUCCACUGCAACCAAACAUAAUAGGUCCCUUUGAACUCCAAUACCAUGAAAAAUAUAAAGCAGGCAUUCGGGCUUCAUUACAAUAAUAUAAAGAAAUAUAGGUUGAAGAACAGAAAGAGAAGAAGAGAAGGAAGAAGCAUAAAAAAAUAAGCCAUUACAUGAUUUUUCAGAGAAAAUAUGCAAACCCAUAAAUAAUAUCUGAAAGUCAAUCAAUUUGUUGAUUUAGGCAUUUAGGAAGACUUAAAAUUCUCCAUAAUGGAUUGUAUAGACUGGUACUAAUGCUUCUCAAUAGAUGCAUUACAAAUUAUAUAUAAACAAGUCAAAAAUUAGACUUAAGUUGGAUUAACAGAAGAAUGGAAAAACAUAGUGAUUACAAGCAAUUGUUGCUGCAAAUUUCAGCAAAACGAACACUUAGAGAAAUGACUACAGCUUCUUCAUCUGGAUUAUCAUUUCUAAGAUUCUUUUCACGCUGCAAAGCUAAUCCGGCUAGUAUUCAUAAUUGUCAAAAUGGUUAAGCAAUUGCUAUAUACUCUUCAUUAUCUAACCUUCUAGACAGCCUGACAGACAGUUAAGCAGUUCAAAAAGAAAAUACAAAAUGAACUUAAAAACAGGCCACUAUAUAUAAAACAAUCAUGUGAGAAAUAAUCUAUCAAAGACACUGAUUUGACUGUUGAAGAUUGAAAGGAUAGAAGACAAAGAAUAUGACUUUUACCAUUAAAAAUGAUGAUGAUGAUGAUGAUGAUGAUGAUCAAACAUUAAGAAGAAAAGGAAAAGAAGAGAUUUAGGUGGAUCUUUGAUGGUAAAAAAAUACAUUCAAAAGGAUGUAAGGAGAAAAGGAGAAAAAGACAUCAAGUACUAGGGGGAAGAGUAUAUAUUACAUGACAUGAUUGAUGAAACAGGUUACUUACUGUGACAAGAGGUUAGGAUGAGUGCAUGUAGGGCCAAAGAUUGGCUACUUUUCACUAUGUUUGGCACAUUUAGGUGAACUCACUUGGAGCAAAAUUCAACAUUAUAAACAAAAACCUAAACAUUAGAAUUUAAUAAUUAGAAAUAACGGAUAUCCUGAGUUUACCCACUAACUAGUAAAUCAUGAUUAUAAAAAAAUUAGGUGGUGACCUUUUUCCUUUCUGUUUUCUACUAGAUCAGCAAUAGCUUAUCUUUAAGUUCCUUGGGAUCUAAUACUGGUGAAGCUUACUUUCAAUUGCAACAUUUUCAGGAUUUACAGUCCACCUUAUUUGUUUCCAGCAACUAUUACCUUUAGAUCAUGAUUUGCACCCAUCAAGUUACAUCGGACACUUCAGUUUUUGUAGGGACAAACAUAGCGGAAGAAACAGGGGUAAAAACACUUGAUCCAUCAAUAUGACCUCACAAAUCAUUAUCCUUAAGAUGCAAGCACGAAAUGGACUAGCUCGCUCUGCUUGGUUGCCUACAGUAACAAGCUGAAUGUCCACAAAUGGUAUGCUCAUGACUACGAGUCUAUGAAUUGAAUCACAUUGUGAAUAGAAGGACUCUUGGAGUAAACCAUGCUUGGUGUCCCGCAAUGGAAAUGAACAUGUGGAAGCGUCAAAUACAUUCGAUAGAAGCAAAAUGUAAAGCUGAAAGAGAGCGGAGUCGCCAAGAAGAAAGACCCCGUACUCACCGAGACGAUUCACCUCCCCGCCGUACCCGUGCAGCCGAACGACCUCCUCGAACGCGAGCGCAGCAUCCCUGGGCACGCCAUACCACGUCUUGCCGGCGCCCAUGUGCAGGUAAUUCAAGCUGUGGAGCUCGUGGUCCUCGACAUGCCAGGCGAACCAGCUGAACAUCAUGGCCACAUACACCAUGGGGGAAGUCACGCCAGGGAUCUCCUCCUUCAUGAAGCGCAGCAGCGAGCCCUUGGCCCUGGACACCCCCCGCAUGUUCCACGCGGUCUCCCCGACGUUGGCGGCCUCCUCCUCCUCCUCCACCCCCCGCCAGCGGCGGGCAGCCCCAAGGGGGGCGAAGCCGGAGCCGGGCAUGUCGUUGGCGUACUCGACGGAGAAGGGCUUGUCGGCGCAGGCCUUCCAGAAGAGGGUCUCGAUUUCGAGCGGGGAGAGGAAGCUAGCGGCGGCCUUCUUGGCCUUCUUGAGGUAGGCGCGCUCGAAUUGCUUGGCCUUGGUCUCGAAUUGCUGGAGCGUGUAGUGCUCCCCGCUCUGCCAGACGGGCUUCUGGACGGGGCGGGGUCGUCGGGGGCAGAACCCGAUCUGCUGCUGGCGCGUGGCGAAGGUGGGGGGCUUCUUGGGGUUGGGCUCGCGGGCAGCGAAGGAGCGGUUCAGGUUGGCGAAGGUCGUCUUCCUGGGUGGAGCCGGGAGCGGGGGUACGAUCUUGCAGAUGCCGAAGGACGACGCCUCCUUCUCGAUCUUGAGGAUGUAAGCGAUGGGGUCCUGGAACUCGGCCAGGGUGGGGUGGUACUCGGGAGCCAACGGGAGGGAUUUCAGCCAUUGGGGCACCUCCGUGGGACCAGGAGGAGGAGGAGGAGGAAGAAGAAGAAGCGUUGGGUCAACCGAAGAUGCUGCUGCUCCUGCCGCCGCUGCUGCCAUCCCUGCUCCUGCUGCCGCUGCCGCCGCCGCUGCUGCUCGGAGCAAGAAAGAUGAGCCGGGAUUUCAUCUCAUUUUCUUGCAAUGAGCGAGUCUGGGAUUCUUGCGGCUUUUUUCUUAUCCUGCUGCUCUUCACCUUUCGGAUGGGGGGAAAAGAGAGAAGGCUCGGCAAGUUGUGGGGGAAGAGGCGAGGUUUUUGUGCCUGGGGGAGUGGGGAAAUGGGGUUUAAUAAUAGGAGCUGUUACGGCAGUAAAUAGCAUUGAUGCCAUUGUCGUUUUGAAAUUGAAAGGUUAUGCUGCCUUUUUUUGUCUCUUCUCUUCUUUAGGUUUUAUUCUAUUUCCAUUCUGGUUCCUCGGCACGCUCCCUUCCGGAUGGGCGCGGCCAGCGCCUGGGGUUCGAUCCAAGGGGGGCUGGAAUUGGCCUGGAUUGCGAAAAGAGUAUUUUAAUUCUGUCACGCAACGUUUUCUUUUACCGGGCACCGACCGGUGCGGUCCGUUUGGACGACUGCUCGGCCCAAGCGGUGGAACUCCCGAGCCACUUGGGAGGAUCUUUGGAUAUCGGUGCAAAAUUUGCAGAGCCGGUUGCAUGUGCUUCGAAUAAAAACUCGGCAGAAUGGCUCAGUUGAUGGAUGGCUUUUAGGCAGCUCAUGUAAUUAGAAAGACAAACAAGGCUGCAGACUAUAUGAAUGAUUUGAUUGAUUGUACUCAUGUUAGACUUAUAUGAAUGAGUAGCCAUUUCCACCCUAAAAAAAAAGAGGGAAACUCGGCUGUGAUAGUUGACCCAAGCUUGUUGUAUUUGAAGAGCAGCGUUAUCUUACACAAAUGCUACACUUAAUUGAUGUCGAAAACAUUGUCUUUGUAAAUUAUAAUGUCGAUGGUGAAGGCAAUUUUGCUGUCCAAAUCAAGGCAAUGGAAAGUGUAAGAGAUGGAUAUACAUGAAGAUCGAUGCAGCAUAUGCUUUUUAUUGGGUUGGGAAAUUUAACAUCUAGACAUCUUUAGGAUGUGGGUGGUAAGUGGUUAGUAUAAGGAGAAAUGUCGAACACGAUAAGAGUUGAUCGUGCGGAUGUUGAACAAUAAAACUUACCCUUUAUUAGGUAAUAAAUUGAAAAAUAAUCACUAAAAAUACAUGAUCGUAUAUUGAAUGAGUGUGAGCUAUUGUGUGAGAAAACGAUUGUAUUUGAUUUGUUAUUGCAUCUACUUACCAUGUUGAUAAGGAUGGAACCUUAUCUUGAACCAAUAAACCAUUCUAUGAAUAUCAAAUGCAUAUUCACGAGAGUUUGCCAAUUUGUAACCCUCGAUUACUUAAUGCAAACAUCUUAGGCAUUAUCAACUUGUUAUAAUUAAAUCAAAUACCAUAAGUGUUAUUUGACGUUGACACAAAGAGGAACAAAUAUAAGGAGCAAUACAUAAGUGAAACAAAAAUAAUAAAAGCAAAUAGGCUAAUUUUAAUACUUAGCAUAUAUUUGCCGACAAAGUAUAUUUAAAUUCUUCUGGUGAAAAGAAACCAUUACGUCAGAACACGUUAUAAACAUAAAAGAAGUUUUAAAUUAUUUACGACAAAACUCAACGAUAAAUAUGAAAUAUUUGCUAGAGGUUUGAAAGAGUAGAGAUAUGUCUCGAUCCCCACACAAACCUUAGUAUUAUUGUACAUAAACACGUAUACAUAAUCCAAGUAUCAUUAUACCCCCGGUUGCCACAAGCCUGGAUUCAUGAUUUCUAAUCACAAAGCCCACUCCACCUCUGUCUCCAUCACCAGUGAAGCUGCCAUCGAAGUUAACCUUGAAAAGACCAGAAGGUGAGGGCUCCCAAGAGACCAGAAUGAUCCUGGGCGCUAUAUAAGCUAAAUAGGAGCUCCAGAUGUUCCUGGCUGACCUAGACCUUGAUACAAUAAUAGUACUAGUGAUCUCUGCUGCAUGAAGUAAAGUUCUAUCUGCCACUAUCCUCAGGUGCACUUUUCUACCCUCAAAAAUCUGGAUGUAUCUGUCCAACCAUAUGUGAUAGAACACAUAUGUGCACCUGAUACCCCACUCCAGAGUGCUUGGUCACCGCCGAGCUUCCUUCAGCUGGUCUAGGAAUUUCUCUAUCGAAGCCACCCCACUGUGAUGAAUCUAUGACCCAACCCCACACCUGAUUUGCAUGGGGGCACCCAAAUAGUACAUGACUGAUGAUCUCCUCCUCACCGGGACAUCCCUCACAUGCUGAAGUGACCUGCACCCCUCGCCUUGCCAGCACACUUCUCGUUGGCAAGCAGCCCCUGUGAGGACCCAUGCGGGCGCAUGUUUAGUCCCACAUCAGUUAUUUGCUGGGUAGAUCUUGGGUACUUAUAUAGAAUCAAAGAACCCAAAUAAUACCUUUCGGCUAGCCAUUUUGGGUAAGGUCCUAGGUUGUUACAAAUGAUAUCAAAGCGGACCCAGCUUAUAACCUAUAUGGACUAAGAGACACUGCAACAUAGAUCUAUUGGGGCUAACCACGAGCAAAUCGUGGUGCUUGUGAUUAGAUUUAAAUGAAUUUGAACUCUUAGCCUGACGAGUACGUUAAGGCUUAAACGAACGGAGUAUGUGAGGGCCCAUGCGGGCGUGUGUUUAGUCCCACAUCAGUUAUUCGUUGGAUAGACCUUGGGUACUUAUAUAGGAUCAAGGAACCCAAAUAAUAUCUUUCAGCUAGCUAUUUUAGGUGAGGUCCUAUUUUGUUACAGCUCCAACUAUCUUUCAAAGAUAAAAGGCGACAUAGGGAUGAAUACGAAGCCUUCAGAUCCACCCACCAUCCAUUCGACAGGCUGACCCCUCGCUGACCAGGGCUUGUAGGUCACGGGCACCCACUUCGUCCCUCCAGUCGCACUCCACACCCUCUUGUCCCUGGUUUCCCCAGUAGGAAUUGGUAAGGCCAAAACCCUCUCCGUCAGCUGCUCCUCAAAAGCUCUGCACACUCGAUCCACAUCCAAUCUUUGAUAGGGCCAAAACUCUCUCCGCUAGCUGCUCCCCAAAAGCUCUGCACACUCGAUCCGUAUCCCAUCUUCUCUCCCCAGGUGCGAGCUGGUCACAUACUUCUUUCUGCUAGGCACUCUGGGUCAAAUAUGGUGGGCCACUGCCCGAGAGGCAGCUCAGCAUCAACAUCUCGGCCAUCCCCAAUGACCCAUCUAAUCCAAAGGAGCACCAUCGGAGUACGGGUGCAGAUCUCUCUCCAAAUGGAGCAGCGGCACCCAGUGCGAAAGACCGACCCAACCACUCGCUCCCCAUACUUUACCCUCAUCAGUAUGCACCAUAGGCUCUUGGGAUCUAGAAGGUACCUGGCCACAUGUCUCCUCGCCAUGAUCUCUAGCCUAGCUAUUAGGGAAUGAACUCUCAGACCUUCCCAUCCAGUCGGCUGACAAAUCAUGUCCCACGCAAGGAGGUGAGUGCUGCGUCCUCCCUCUUCUCGCCUCUCCCAAAUGAAGCUUCUGAACAUCUACUCUAGAGACCUCAAGGGUACCAUCAGAAUAAUAGCGUUAGAUAAUAAAUAAACUGGGUCGAGCUAAGGACCGACCUGACAAGGGUAAUCCUCUCCAUUAUCGAUAAGGCGACCGCUUGCCACCCCUCCAUCCUGUGCCUAAUGUUAUGCUCGAUGGCUGAGCAGUCCCCUCAUCGCAGUCGCGGACUAGUGAUCAAAACUCUCAAAUAUCUCAAAGUGUUCCCCUGCUCUCCCAUGCCCAGGAUCUCCAUGAUAGUUCUCUUAGUCGUAGCUUCAUCUUCGGGCUAAAACAAAUCACAGAUUUAGCCAGAUUUGCUUUUGGCCCGAAAGCCUCACAAUACGACCAGAAUCUCCCGUAGCAUCUGUACCGAAUGUCUUGUAGCUUGAGCCAACAAUAAGCAGUCAUCAGCAAAUAGCAAGUGGGAGAUCUGGACCAACCUCUCCACCAAUUUAUAGGCCUCCAGCGACUGAACCUCAGUAGCCUGGACAAUACAUCUGCCAAAUGAUACAUAAGAGAGGCAAUAGCGGACAUCCCUACCACAAUCCUACCGCAGACUCAAAGAACAGUGAUGGUAUGCUAUUCAUUAGGAUGGCAAAUGAAGGAGUCCGGAUGCACCCCAAAAUCCAUCUAAUCCACUGUUGGUGAAAACUGAAGCUCUCUAAGGAUUGCUAGGAAGCUUCAGUUCAUCCUGUCAUAGACUCCCUCCAUAUCAAGCUUGAUGCCCAUCAAGCUCCUCCUUCCAGCCGCUUUUUGAAGAUCGGCCAUGAACUCCUGGGCUAUUAGCAGAUUGUCGGAGAUGCUGCGCCCCCCAAAAACACCCCUUGCUCAGGGCGGAUGAGCCCUGGUAGAAGUCUCCCUACUCUUCUCACUAUAAUAUUUGUAACUAUCUUGUAUAAGGUAAUGCAUAGGCUAAUCAGAUAAUAGUAGCUCCGCUCUGAGGCAUCUUGUCUUUUUGGAAUCAGAGUGAUGAAGAUCUGCUUCCACUCACAUGGCAUGCUGGCCAAAAUGAAAAACUGUUGAACAACCUCAGUUAUAUCUUUCCUGAUAAUGUGCCAAUAUCUCUUGAAAAAUACUAGAGGAUAGACAUCCGAGCCCGGUGCCUUCUCCUUAGCUAGCAACCAGAGUGCCUUCUGGAUCUUCGUACUUGAUACUGGCCAAAUCAACUCUGCGUUCUUCUUCUUUGUCACCCUCAACACUGGUGCAUGAGCUGUGGGUGAUCCCCUACCACCCGACAUGACUGUCCAUCUGGAUUUGAAGACUGCACUAGCACACUCCUGAUAGCCUCAAGGUCCUCCAUCAUCUGCCCACUACUCUUACUGAUGCUGCUAAUUAUGUUCUCUACUAGCAAAUGACCGUCGAUUGGUGGAAGAACUUGGUAUUCCUGUCUCCCUUCCAUAACUCACUGAAUCCUCGACUUCUGUCUCCAUAGGAUUUCCUGCUGCCGAAGAAGUGAGUUGUGCAUAGCUAAAUAAGCUCUAAAUUGUCCCUACUCCUCCUCCGUCAAGCCCCCCCUCUCCUCCCGCUCCUAGAGGUGAGCAAUUGAAGCCUCAAUCUCCUCAAGCCUUCUGAAGAUGUUCCCCACCUCUACUCGAUUCCACUUCUUAAGUCGGCGUUUGAUCAACUCCAACUUCCCAGUCACCCUAUACAUCUCAUUUCCCUGCACGGUCAUCUGCCAAGCCUCUCUUACAACCUCCCACGACCAGGGGUAGGAAAGCCAAAUCUUCUCAAAACAGAAAAGGCUACCCAUGAUGUAUGAAAUGCUCGUUUCAGCAAAAAAAAAAAGGGCUAGAAAAAGGGCACACAAUCGAGGUACUCACCAUAAUAAGACAGUGGUCCAAAACUAUCCACGGUAGAUAAGAUACCUAAAAGUCCGACCAGUGCUGAAUCCAUUCCGCCGUGGCAAACACUUGGUCAAUCUGCUUCCAUACUCUCGCUUGGCCCCGUCUGUUAUUGCACCAGAUAGAUCUCGUCCCGAUGAAUCCCAAAUUAAUCAGUCUAUUCGCCGCAAUGAACUCCUAAAAUAUUCUGACUUCUAUCUCACAUGAAAAUGCCAUACCAUUUAUUUAUUCAACUGUCUUUCAACUACAUUUAACAAAUUUUAAAUGUAAAAUAUAGUAUAAAAUUCCAAUUUUGAUUCUACUUUGAAAUACUAAUUACCAUAAAUGUACUUUUUGCAGUUAGGUCCCAAAACAUGAUGGAAUUUUAUUACAUUCUUUUUAUCAUAAAGUAACGGACCAGAUCAACGAGCUUAUUAUUCUCAAAGAAUUCCACUCCACUAUCCCAGUGGUUUGAUGGACCGUGGGGACGGGAUCGGGCUCAGCAACAUAUCGCGGUCGCAGUACGAGGCGAUAAACCGGUCCCGGUUCGGUCUAGACUUCUCUCGAUCUCUUAUCCCACGAUCCCUCGAGAAACCCGAGUUUGCUUAUUAGGGUUCCACUUCGUCGCCUCUUCCCCUUUUAUUUUAGGAGCGCCAGCGAUAGCCGCGGUCGAUCCGGGCCGCCUCUCUUCCCAAUUUCUUUGGCAGAUUCUUCUUGACCCUGGGGAGCGAUGAUCGGCGCCAUCCUCCCCCUCCCCGCCCCGCCCUCCGAUGGCAAUCUCGGCCCUAUUCCCCCUGCCCAACUCCCCGACGAGAAGAACGAUGACGAGAAAGCUAAAGAAGACCAACCCGCCGCCGCUCCGGCGCCGGCGGUGGCGACCCACACGAGGACCAUCGGCAUCAUCCACCCUCCCCCUGACAUCCGGAUGAUCAUCGAAAAGACGGCCACUUUCGUCGCCAAGAACGGCCCCGAGUUCGAGAAGCGCAUCCUCGCCAACAACGCCGGCAACGCCAAGUUCAACUUCCUCAUCCCCUCCGAUCCCUACCACGCUUACUACCAGCACCGCGUCUCCGAAUUCCGCUCCCAGCUUCAAUCCUCCCAACAACCCGCCGCCGGCGCGGACUCCUCCCAGCAGCAGCAACCGCAGCCGCCCCCUCCCCCCGAUUCUUCGGCCCCCGCCGUACCUUCUGGCGAUUCUGCCGCCAAGCCCGAUCCCGCCGCCCCGUUCCGCAUCCCCCCUCGGAAGGUCCUCGAGCCGCCCGAGGCCGAGCAGUACACCGUCCGGCUCCCCGAGGGGAUCACCGGGGAGGAGCUCGACAUCAUCAAGCUCACCGCCCAGUUCGUCGCCCGGAACGGGAAGGGCUUCUUGAAUAAUCUCUCGAAUCGGGAGGCCACCAACCCGCAGUUCCACUUCCUGCGGCCCACCCACAGCAUGUUCACCUUGUUCACCGCGCUCACGGACGCCUACUCCAAGGUGCUCAUGCCGCCCAAGGGGGUCGCGGAGAAGCUGCGGAACGGCGUGACCGACAUGACCACGGUGCUCGAGCGGUGCCUGCACCGCCUCGAGUGGGAGCGGUCCCAGGAGCAGGCGAGGCAGAAGGCCGAGGACGAGAUCGAGCAGGAGAGGCUGCAUAUGGCGAUGAUCGACUGGCAUGAUUUCGUCGUGGUGGAGACCAUCGAGUUCGCUGACGACGAGGAUGAAGAGCUGCCGGUGCCGAUGACACUGGAGGACGUUAUCAGGAGGAGCAAGAUGUCAGCUUUGGACGAUCAAGUGCCGAUGGAGACCGUCGAGCCAGGAAAGGAGGUGGAGAUGGAGAUGGACGAGGAGGAGGUCCAGCUUGUAGAAGAAGGCAUGAGGGCGGCGAGACUGGAUGAGAAUGGCGAGGUUGAGAACAAGAGCAAAGCAGAGGCGGCUCCUGCAGAUGAACCGGAGCCUCCAAUGAGGAUAGUAAAGAACUGGAAGCGGCCAGAGGAGAGGAUCCCUGCCGAAAGAGACGCGACCAAGUUUGUCAUCUCCCCGAUCACCGGCGAGCUGAUUCCAAUUAAUGAGAUGGCCGAGCACAUGCGAAUCUCGCUCAUAGAUCCCAAGUACAAGGAGCAGAAGGAGAGGAUGAUGGCAAAGAUCCGGGAGACGACCCUUGCUGCCGAUGAUGAGAUCUCUAGGAACAUCGUGGGGCUCGCUCGAACCCGUCCUGAUAUCUUUGGGACCACGGAGGAAGAAGUCUCGAAUGCUGUUAAGGCGGAGAUCGCGAAGAAGAAAGAUGAACAGCCGAAGCAGGUCAUAUGGGACGGGCACUCCAGUAGCAUUGGCCGCACUGCGACUCAAGCCUUCUCCCAGAGUUUUUCCGGCGAGGAACAAGCGGAUGCUAACAAUAAUGAUGAUGAGAGGACUCUUCCGGGCCCUGCUCCUCCUCCUCCGAAGCCCGGUGUACCAUCAGUGCGUCCUCUCCCGCCACCACCGGGAUUGGUUCUGAAUAUUCCUCGUUUCCCUCCAAAUGCAGCCCCUUAUUCUUCCGCCGGCGCCGCCAGUGGAGGUAUGUUUGCCCCGCCGCCAAGGCCUGGAAUUGUCCCCAUGAUUUCAUCUGUGAGGCCUCCAGCUCCAUCAAUGCCUAUGACUUCAACCCAGCAGCCUGUUAUGAUGAGCCGGCCACCAUCCAUUCCUGUACCACCACCACCCGGAUCACAGUUCACUCCCUUGGUGGCUCCCCGACCAUAUAUGCCCAUGCCGCCACCUAACAUGCCAAUGGUCCUGCCGCCGCCUCUUCCACAAGGGUUGCCGCCACCACCUCCUCCCGAGGAAGCUCCUCCACCGCUACCUGAUGAGCCGGAGCCAAAGAGACAGAGGACUGAUGAUGUUUCACUCGUACCAGAGGAUCAAUUCCUUGCUCAGCAUCCGGUAAUGCCUAUUAUGAUCUUGAACAUUUCCUGUUGUUAUAUGCUUCUUUUUUCUUCAAGAUUUUUAGUCUUGUAUUUAUUUUAAUCAUUCAAUGGAUUGACUAAUGAUUACAGGGUAAACAACUAAUUCUACCUAUUACUUUUGUAGGGACCUGUUCGCAUUUCUGUAUCUGUUCCCAAUGUUGAUGAAGGAAACUUGAAAGGCCAGAUGCUGGAGAUCAUGAUCCAGUCUUUGUCUGAGACUGUUGGCAGUCUCAAGGAGAAGAUUGCUGGGGAGAUUCAACUUCCUGCUAAUAAGCAGAAAUUGAGCAGCCGAGCAGGAUUUCUGAAGGACAAUCUUACUCUUGCUUAUUACAACAUUGGCGCUGGAGAGACACUAACUCUUGCUCUAAGGGAGCGUGGUGGGAGAAAGAAAUGAUCUCUCCUUUUGUUGCAUUGGAAGGUUACCAUGGAAACGUUUUCAGGAUGAGACUUUUGCUUUCAGGAGGUGGAUAUUAAAACUUACCUAGGUUAGUAACUGAUGAAAUUUCCUGAUUCUUAGUGCAGAUGUGCAAUUAGGUUGUGAUCUUUUCUGAUGUGUUAUUGCAGAAUGCCAUGUCUUCCUCCAGAGUGCAAGGUGGCCAUGGCAUUAUCUAUUGCUAUUGUGUACUUAUGGUGUCCACUACUUUCAUUUCUCUCUCUUUUGUAACUGGUGCAUUUCUUGUGUAUGUUUUACAACUAUAAAUGAUAUUAAGGGUCUAUUGAUAUUUUUUAAGUCAAUGCCUUGUAUGUCCUGUAUAAUUUCAAUUCUACUGCAUGGUCCAGAGGUUCUACUUUCCAUAGGGCAGUUUCUAAAAGGUUGGUUAUAUUAUUCUUUAUGUUAUAAAGGUUGAUGAUGCUUAUUAUACAUGCAAUGCCUUUUACACCAUAUUCAGCAGUUCCCAUGUAGGACCGAUUGGGUUACAGGUAGUAUUCUUUUUUCUUUUCUUUUCUUUUCUUUUUUAGGUUUAAACCAAGGAUUGCCGAAUCGGUACCGAAUGUUGUACUGGUCGACAUCCGAUUCGGUUCGGUACCGGUUUGGAACCAAGCCCAUACCAAGAGAAUACCGGCUGGAGCUGAAAAAAACAGAAAGAGAGCGAGCGGGGGAGGGACGGAGAAGGAGCACUGCAUAUGCUUGUGGGGGGCUAGAGCCCGCGGGGGCGCAGUGGAGGCCGAGCCUGCGGCCGCGUUCCCUGUUUUACUUAAAAAUUUUCAAAUUUUUUUUCCUCCGCCGCGCUCCUACGACCUCUACCGGCCCGUUGCAGCCCUUCACAGGUAUCCGCGGCGCUCCUUUCUUCCUCCCCCGCUUGCUUUCUCUUUCUCUUCGCCUUCUCUGGCUUUGGUAGCGAACCGGUUUUAAAAUCAGAACAAUACUUCUAGACCACUGGUACAGUUCAGAACGGACGGAAUUGUCCGGUUUGGGAUGGUGUGCCGUAUGGUUUGGAACAAGUUUUGAACUGUUAAAUAAAUUUAUGUGUAGAGUCUGCAGCAUGCACACAGGUUUUGAUGUCUCGCCAAGCAGUUUUAAGACUCCACUGUAUAUGUUAGCUUCAUGCCUUGAGAUGGACUCAUAAUCUGAUUAUGUUUAUGUGAGUUUGGGAGAUAUUCUGAGAGCAUUUUAAACUAGCUCUCAACAUAAAGUUGUUGCUUCAUGAAAUAGUAUCAGGUUUUUGACCGAAGCAAUGAGUGCAAGGAAGGAGCCUGGCAUAAAUCUUAAUAGGCUGUUCCAUCCUUCUAAGCGUUUAUGUAUUCCCAUUUGGGACGAAGUAAUUGCAUCUAAACAUAAGUUUAUUGGAUGGGAUGAUUACCUACCCAGUCAUGGAGCCUCUCCAAUAUGGUGAGCUAUUUGUUUAGGAGCUAAGUGGAUUAAAGAGCAUAUUUGUAGUGGAAAGAGAAUUAACAUUCUGAAGGAUCCAUGGAUAUCGAGCACUUCUUCCCCUUCUUCAGUUCAACAACCAGAGUCUCCUUCAUCUUUGCCUACUUCGGAUACUCAUAAAACUCCAUGGAAAACUAGAGUACAUGCCUCAAAUUUUAAGAAAAAUGAAUAUAUUAUUAGAGAAGAAGAAGACAUGAAAUUACUUGAACUUGAAUAUGAAGCUUCCGAGGAUCCAUCACCAUUGUAGAGAAACAAGAGCAAAAAGAAAGCAAUUGACAUGAAUGAAGAUUGGGAUUAUUCUUCUAUUGCUUAUUGUUAUACUUCUACUAUUGUUGAUCAGCUAGAACUCACUUCAUAUAAUGAUGCCAAGGGCAUUGGUGUUUGGGAGGAUGCUAUGAAAGAAGAGAUUUCAGCUCUUAAGAAGAAUGAGACAUAAGAUUUAGUUCCUUAGUGGUAUUUCUCAUAUUUCUUGUAAGUAGGUUUAUAAGUUUAAAAAAAGAGUGAUGGCUUUAUUGAGCGCUACAAAGCUAGGCUUGUAGCAAGAGGAUUCUGACAAAAGUAUGGUGUUGAUUUUGAUGAAGCCUUCAGCCCAAUUGCAAAAUUAACUACUGUCGGAGUACUUAUUUCCUUAGCAACAAGCAAAAAAGUUCUAUCAUUCAAUUAUUAGUUCGACAAGUUAUUACAUGUUGCUGUUACUUUGGCAAUAAUAGCAAAGUCUAUUGUGGCAUUUCACAACAUCAACAAGUUUAAUGUUGUUGGCAUGAACUUCACAAUAAGUGAAAGUGUCGAGAUUUAUUGUCAAAUCCUAAUAUUCCUAAUUAUGUUAGAAUUCUAUUUCUAGUUUUAUUCUACUUAGUUAUUCCUUUUAGAGUAAUUAUCUUUAUUCUUUAGUGGUUAUCAAGUCUUAUCUUUUAGUGGAUGUUGGUUUUUGAAUUUGAAUAGGAAUCAAACAUCCCACCCAUGUAAUGCUCUAUUUAAAGGGACCUUUGGUAUCUUUUUUUUUUUGAUACAACGGUAGCUCAAACAACUGUAGUGUGAGUACAGCCAGUAGAAUCAAGAAAGAGAAAAUACGUAAACAUGAAGGGGUAGCUACAUCAGUAGUUCCUAGAACUACACCAGAAUGGCGAGCAACAAAAGAGGCAAUCUAGUCAGCCGCCCUAUUGGCCUCCUUGAAGACAUGAACUUUUUGAAAGGAAUCUAAGUCUCCCACCAGUCGACAGAUGUCAUGCAACAACGGGUGCCCACACCUAUACCGGUUCUCUCUCUGAAUCCAAUCAAUCAUGAUAGAAGAGUCCCCCUCAAGAUACACCCUGUCUGCAUCAAGCACCCGACUCGCAAAGGUGAUACCCUCCCAAGCUGCCUGAAGCUCAGUCCCAAUAGCAGUCAUGCCCGGAGAAUGCCGUCCUCCUACUACAAUCAACCUAGAUGCAUGGUCCCUGAUCACAAAACCAACUCCACCGCUAGCUCCAUCGGCGGAGGCACUGCCAUCAAAAUUCAUCUUGAGAUGGCCCGGAGUCGGGGCAUCCAAGAGAAAAAGGUAAAUAUGGACGCUGUUGCAAUAGAGUGGGUGUCCCAGAUUUUUCUAGCCAUCCCAGAUGAAUCCGCAGUAAUGGCUAUAGUAAGCUCUCCUUUAGUGUAGUGUGAAAAAAGAGAGAGAAUGUGAGUGAGAGUUGUCCUUCUUGGUGAGACUUGGGAAGUGCCUUUUUGCGUGGUUUAAAUUUUUAAUAUAAAUAUUUUUUCUCUCUCCUAAUUAUUUUCUUCCGGCAUCUUUUUUCUAAUUUUUGUUUGAUUUUGUUCUAGAUCUUGGAACGGCACGGUCGAUCUACUCCACAUAGCAUACCGUUCUACAUGUUUCACAUCAAUCAUCUUAAGAAGGUUUAUGUUUAUUGUUUUUCUAAAAGAUGUCGUCAAGAUUGACAUUUAAAACCGCUAUCAUCACUCUCUCAUCAGAAUGAGUUGCUAAGAGAUAAAAGCUUAAACAUGCCUCAAUGAAUUUGAAGGUAACCUACAUAACAUGACAGGAGUGAAAAAGAGAAGUUAAACCACCAGUUGAAUCUAAGACAAAUAUAUUUCAGCGUUUUCUGAAGCCCUCGGAAAAUUUAGCAGUACUUCAGUAAGCUUGAGAAGCAAUUCUGAAAUUAACAUCCACUCGGUGGGAUCUUGGGUAUUGAUGGCGCUGAUAAACAUUUUGUCCAGCAUCUUACAGCUCUUAAGAACAACCUCCAGCAGCGUAAUUUCUUUCUCACAGUCCGUUAGGACUUUGUUGAUGAUGUGACUUGCUUCACCGUAAAAAGAAACUUCAGUAGUGCGAAAAAGGUUGUAUAUCUGAACAGUCUUGAGAUGCAAGAGGGACGACAUGGCAAGUUCUAACAUUUCCCAACCUUCGCUCUCAGCAAUGUCAUAAUUUCUUCCAACCUAAAUUGUCAAGGUAGAAACAUCAAACAUGGAAGAAAAAAGUAAUGUAUUGAGCCUUGAAUUUUCUCCUUACAUAUCCAACCAUCAUCUGAAUAUCUACAGCAAGAGUCGCCAGAUAAUGUGAAUUUAUCAGCAAAUGCGCGAUCCCUUUAAUUUCGCAUCUGUUCAAACUAGCACCCAAUUCCAGACAUGUAGUGCUAAAAACUGAAUUUUCAAGAAUUGGCUUCCCCAUCAAAGCCAUAUUCUGCACACAGUAAAACAGGUAUAAAUGAUUAUCUUUUGAUGAAACCAUAGUUUAGUCAGAAUCAUACUUCAUACCAAGUCAUUGAAUCAAUAAAUGGGAUUCAGAAGUCUAUACAACUUAAACAUAAGAUUUUUGAAAAGACGUGAAAAUUUCUAACCAUAACUAAUAAGCCUUGAGACAAGUGAGUAUGUCAAAUGCCCACGUCAAUAAAACUAUACUUUUCAUUUCUAGCUGAGCCAGAUAGAAAACAUGAGUUGACAGCGAUACUAAUGCUUUUCUGACUUCUUGCCAUUCUUUGCAUACAAACAGGACUAAAUGGAGUAUUUUAGGCUACCUGAUCAUCAUGUUUUGCUCUGAAAGUAUCGAAAGCAUGUCAACAAGUUUCAUAGAAGGUAAAGAGAUACCAAACAUGGAAGGUUUUCCAGUCAGAACAGAAAAGAUUUAAAGCACAGGGGUGUCCCUCGUAGGAAUUUCAUAAUGUCAGGAUAGGCAGUCAUUCAGAGUUCAACUAGACAUGCUACAAAGUGGCUGUAUUCAGAAGCGGCUUUCUCCACAUGCUGCAGAUGACAUGCUCAAGUAGUCAAGCUAUGGCAUUGUUCUGCAAAAUUCAUGAUUGCAACUAUCAUCUCGUUCAGUGAGCCUUAACGAACAACACUUUUGGUGUUGAACCUAGCAUAACUAUAGCAAAUUUACAAAUUUUAGCUUUGAAAGUUAGCAUAAUUUUCGCACAAAAUUGAAGAAUGCCAGACAAAAACUACUGGUGAAUAAGCAUUUGCAAUGACCAUCCGAAUAGGCUUAGAUAAGAAUUGUUAAUAAAAGUCUUAAUUUGUACUUUUUUAUUUUUCAAGAUAUAAGAAAUCUAAGCACAAUUUCUUAAAUAAAGUUUGAUACUAUGAAUUCAAUGUGUCAUUUCAUGUAUAAACAGAUGCCUUAUAUGCAAUAUAUCGAAAAAAACACAUUGAAAAUGUGUUUUUUUUUUUAAAAAAAAAACUAAAAUCAUCACACUUCACAAUGUGAAAAACAGCUGUUUGUAAACAAUCACAUAAAAUGUGGAAUCAUGCCUUACAUUUCUACAGAAAAAAAAAGAAACAAGUUGGCAUUGCACCGAGCGACACUGCCCUGUAUCACCUGGUACUGCCUGAAAUGAGGGCGUGUACCACCCCGUACCAUCCGGUUUUGGGUGGUAAUGUGAUAAAAAGUUUUUUUAAAAAAAGGGUCGGGACCUGUCUCAGUAUGGGAUGUGUACCAUACCAUACUGUACCAAACUACUAACGUAUCAGUUUGGUAUCCAUUACCAAGAUUGUGGACCUUGAUCGUCUAUCUAUAUUCUCAUGUUUAUACCAUACUGGGUUUCUCACUACAUAUCAAAGCUUAAAUAUUAGAAUUAGUGGAUGUUUUGAUGACUGCAUACCAGGAUGCACCAAUUACAGAGAUUAAGAGUAAACUUCAGUACUAAAUGCAAACAUAAAGAUAGAUUAGACACCUGUUAGACACAUUUCAUGAUAAGCAAGUGUGUGGAUUAUCUGAAUUAGGUUUAACAAUCAAACCCAUUGAUAUAUUCAACCAAAGGUAAACUCCUCAAAAUCCAGGCAAGAACAGCGGCAGUAACAACAGUGACAAGAUUAAUAGUCAAGGUCCAGCUAUGAUGGAGGUAGACACCGUAAGUUUUUCUUUUUUUGUCUCAACUUUCUUUGUUUGUUCUUUCUCUUUCUUUUGCUUCCUCUUACCUCUCUUUCUUUCGUCCCUUCUUUCUUGCUAUUGUUGCAGCUCUUUGUAUCUCUGUAAUACGACUUUGGUGGUAAUAAAUGGUAUCUUCUCUAUUUAUAAAUAAAUUACAGGCACUUCUGUGCAUUACUAAUUAUCAUCAAUUACUAGAAUUUUCAAUAAACUAGAAAUGAUAAUGCUUGUCAAACAUAACAUAGUUAUUUAUGUGAAAAUUUUAUUCUACUGUUCCCCCCAUAACCAUGUAUUAUUUUUCGACGAUUCAUCAUAUUGGCAUGUUUUAUCAUGCUGUUCUUGUAUCAUAUAUCCAUGCCAACACUUUAUAGAUCCAUAUCCAAGUGUUAAAUAAUAAAGAUAUAUAUUGCAUUCUGGUUGUUACACAUCUUUGUAUGUUUUAAGUUGAAAUCAUCAUUUAAUUUAUGCCAUUUACUUUUUAAUAAUGCACAGAAAAAAUGUUUUAUAGAAGUAAAUAGAUUAACAAGCAUGUAACUCUAGCAAGCAUGCUUUGAAUUGAGCUUCACCAUCGAAUUACUAAACCUUUGUAUCCAUCUUAAAGGAAUGCAAGGGAGACAUGCACUAGCUUCUUAUGCAGAGCUGCCUUGCCUCUCAUUGGCCAAUGCCAUCUAGGUCCCCCCUCUCUGGGAAAAGAGAACCGCCACUUCCAGCUCCUUGAGUAAAGGAAAGAAUCCAAUUCCUACAUUUAAGUGAACUAUGAAGAUUAUCAAAAUAAAUUUUAAAAUCAUAUUUUUUAUAAGUUUCUAGUAACUAAUGUUUGAAAUUUGUGGCCAAAAUUUUCAUUUCAUUGUUCAUUGGUAACUUAAAUCAAGCAUUCAAUCUGAAGCUCCUGCCUCCCUAUAUUGUCAUGGGUAAAAUAUACUACUAAAACUUAGGAGGCAUCAUGUGUCAUGUAAUGACGAUGAACAAGAAAAAAAGGUUGAAAACAAAAUUGAAAUUGACGAGAGGUUGGAAAGUAAUUAUUGGACUGUGAUUUGAAAUAAAGGGAAAAGCUUUAGAGGAUAAGGAUAUAGGAAACCAUAAAAUUAGCAUGUACUAUAUGAAAAUAGAAUAAUUUCAUAUAAACAUAAUUGUACACGUUAUAACUGCACAAGAGAUAUCCCAAUUAGAAAGUCUUGAAUGUGUUAACAAACAAACAACUUUUAUACAAUAUUUUUGCAGUGCAUAUGAAGUUGUGAGAGGUACUCCUAAGCAGUCAUAUGACCUCAGAUGCCUCUAUGCAUGAACAGAAAAACUUGACGGUAAAAACGUAUGACAGUAAUGGUUGCAUUUUUCUAUGGCUUAGAGUGCAACAAAUUAAGAAGGUCCAUGCAUUGGCGAUGGGUAUAGGAGAGAUAGAAAAGUUGAGGUGGAGGGGUUACACAAAAGGCAGAUAGUUACUGAGUAUUUUGAUGAAAUUUUAAGAUUUUAUCGCCAAUAGAUGAUGUAAGAGUGAAAUGAGGUGAUAAGGUCCCUUCCAGCAAAAAAAUUCAAAGGUUUUGUCAAGGAAAGAAGCUUGAAUUUGUCAAAUUGCCAAAGGGAUCCAACUUGAAAAAUUAAAUGAAAGUUGCAAGCAGAAUUUUAAAAGGCUUACCUUGACGAACUAUGUAGCUCUAGAUAAGAAUGAAUGGUGAGAAAGAAUUUCUAAUACCCACUACAAGGAGCUUAAAUACGAAAUAUUGCCAGAAGUCUUAAUUUACAUUCUUCCUAUGAAGAUAUGAGCAACCUAGCAUAGAUCUUUUCUUGAAUUUUGAUUUAAAUUUACCCAUCUCCAAAUCAUUUUUCAUGAAAGACUUUGAUGGUUGAGACCCAUUUUCCCUUUUGAGUUAAAUAUCAACAGGGCUUUUAAGGGAAAUGCCCGUCCGGUGCUCGGGAAGGGCUGGCCAUAAAUUUUAAUGGUGUUCGACUUUUUGCCUUUUCCUUUCAUGGUUUUGCAACUAAUGUUGAAGCUGAGAUGAGAGCUGUCACUGAGGAAUUGACUAUUGUGUUGCCAAAGGUUUUUGUGAAAAUCCAAGUAGAGAAUGAUCCCUUCAAUUUCCUUGAUCCUACUGAGAAUUUUGCUGGCUGAUUUUCACUGCUUUUGGAAUGUUUGGUAUGAGCUUUUAAAAUUUAGGGAUUUGGAAGCCUCAGUGAGUCUUCAAAUAUCACAUCCAUUUAAAAGAGGUGAAUAUGGAAGCUGACUACCUUUCUAAUCAUGCCUAUGAUCAAAAACAAAUUGACGGUUCCUUUCAGAAGCUAUGCAAACAUCAAAUGUUAAAACAGAUAUUGAUCCAUUUGAUGUUUUAUUUCUUGUAUAGCUCUUUUGAGCACCUUCAAUCUUUUUUGUAUCUCUUCUUUUCUAUUCGAAUAAACUGGUAGGUGUCAGCCAAACCCCCACUCACGAUGAGGUGAUCAUGAUAAGAAAAAAAAAAAAAGAAGAAAGCAUAUUAAACUUAAAAAAUGAGUGAAUGAAAUGUUGAGAAGAAUGAAAUAUCCUGCUUUUUGGACUUGUCUAAUCCUCAACACUUCAUAAAAUGUGAAAAGCUGGUAUGCUUAUCUGUUCGCAGGAAAACAACCAUACAGUAAGUAUUAGCAUGCCCUACAUUUUGAAGAAACAAUCAGAUCACAUUGAAGAGGACUUUGAACUGCUUAUAUUUUGCAACAACAACACACAUAAAUCAAGACAGAAUUUAAAUAUAAAUGGGAAAAUUAAAGAUUAGAUAAAUGGUAAUUAUGAGAAAAAUCAAUGUAGAUAAUGACAGAAAUAGCAAAGUACACUGAAAUAUAACAAUUAUCAGAUUUACAUUUAAAAAGAAAUGAAAAUGAAUGAAUAUAAAAAUACUCCAUUUGCUACAUAUAAAUCUACAAGUUAUCAUAUAUAUAUAUAUAUAUAUAUAUAUAUAUAUGAGACUAAGAAAAAGAUAUUGCUCCAUUGCUCGAUGCUUUUGUACUUGUCUUCUGCAUUUUAGUUAUUUCAUUCCUUUAAACUAUUCAAAAUUCCAAAAAGAAAAGGAAUCCGUAGUUGACACUGUCAGUAUCUUAUAUCCAUGUCCCCUAGCUCUAGAUGAUAUCAGGAUUCUCAACUAAAUGCAUAUUACAACCAAAGCUUGAAAUAUUGCAAUUAGUGGAAGUUUUGAUGCCUGCAUACCUGGAUGCUCCAUUGACAAAGUUUAAGAGUUUUAACAUGGCUAAGACUUUCAAGAAGUUUCACCGACAUAUGGUCGCCAAAAAGAGUAUAAGCUGUUCUGAACAUGCCUGUAAAAUUAAGACAAGCAUGUGUAACAGAUGAUAAAUUUUUAAUAGAGUAGCCAGAAUGCCGCAUAUAACCACUGAUUUCGAUGGACGACAGGUAUGGAGCAUCAAUUAUUAGAUCACCGCUUGCAUAAAGGACAUCAGACACGUCACAUAUCUUUAAUUUUUCGAGUUUAUGAUUUGGAGAAUAUAUGCUGAGAUGCUUUCUGCUGUUGCAUCCAUACAGAGUUAAACUUUCAAGAAGCGGGAAGCCAGAAGUAUUCAAGUCUGACACAAUUAUGACAUGGUAGAGCUUCAGUGUCCUCAGCGAGCCAAGACACAAGGAUGGCAGCAGAUUUAGAGCACAGCCUCUCAAUCUCAAUGCUCUUAAUUCACCACACUGGGAAAACAAUCCAGGCAUCAGAUUGUAUAAAAAAAAGUGCAAGUUGCCACUAUGGUAUCCAGCGAUAUAGUCCAUAUCUAGCUCUUCUACAUUAUGCUGCGCAGCAAAGCGGAGCCAUGCAUCGAGAGUGCAAUGACAGAUGCGGCUCUGGUCGACACGAGCGCAAAAUUUCUUAAUCUUUGAGGCAUUGUAAAGCAUCAGGCAAUAGUUAAUGAAUGAUUCAAUGGACCAAAGCGAGAAUUCAGGCUCGUGGGUGCCGAAGUCCAAGACAGGAACCUGAGUCCACAAGUGCCUCCAUCUUCUUGACAGAAUGCUUGUUCGGACGACCUGACACAUUGGCAAGAACGAUAGGAUGUGGAGGAGCACGACCUCGGGCAACUCACUGAUCCUGUCCUCCAUCGGGCAACUCCUGUGUUUAUUUUAUAUUCAAUACCAUAUUUAUCAAUUAAGUCUCAUGCAAUUAGCAGCAAGAACAGCUGCACCCUCUUGGAAACCAUAAUCACACAGAAAUUAAGAUUUAUUGCAAGAAUUAUGGGUCCACAAAAAAAUCAAGAAAUGCAAAGGAAAGAGUGUAUGUUUUAUAUUCAAGACUGUGCUUAUCAACUCAGUCUAAUCCAAUCAGCAGCAAGAACAGCUGCAUCCUUUUGGAAACCAUAAUCAUACAGAAAUUAGGAUUUAUUGCAAGAACUACGGGUCCAAAAAAAUCAAGAAAUGCAAAGGAAGGAGUGCAUAUUUUAUAUUCAAGACUAUAAUUAUCAGCUCAGUCUCAUCCAAUUAGCAGCAAGAACAGCCGCAUCCUCUUUGAAACCAUAAUUGAACACAAAUUAUGAUUUACUGCAAGAAUUAUAGGUCCCCAAAAAUCAAGAAAUGCAAGGGAAAGGGAUAGAAUAUAGAAAAUUAGAACAAAAAAACUACACCUAAUUUUCUUUUCUUUUUCAACCUGUAGAAAAUUAUGCAUUUCUUCUUGUUACAUUAACAUGCAGGAAAAUAAUUCAUGUUGGAAUAGAUCAUAUGUUGUGAACAAACCUUCGAUGCUUUACCUCCAACGCUGGAAGAAAGGGAAGAGGAAGGAGGAAUCUUGGAAUCCUUCUCUCUUUUCGAUAGAAAUCUUGGAAGCCCUUCUAGAAAGAAAGAAAAAAAACCGGAGCGCGGGAGGAAGUCUCGAACACGAAGACCCGUCCGAAAAGACCGGUAAAAUGCGUCAUGUAUAGGGAGGAUCGAUGACACGUCAGCCGGAUGAGACCCGAUUUGAUCCGGAUCCGACCCGAAUUGGUUAAGGUACGAGAUACAGACCCUGAUCCAAUUCCUUGGCACGUUAGCUCAUGUCAACUCCCAUUUGGGUUAGGUCUAGGCAAAUUUAAGGGUCCAAGGCNNNNNNNNNNNNNNNNNNNNNNNNNNNNNNNNNNNNNNNNNNNNNNNNNNNNNNNNNNNNNNNNNNNNNNNNNNNNNNNNNNNNNNNNNNNNNNNNNNNNNNNNNNNNNNNNNNNNNNNNNNNNNNNNNNNNNNNNNNNNNNNNNNNNNNNNNNNNNNNNNNNNNNNNNNNNNNNNNNNNNNNNNNNNNNNNNNNNNNNNNNNNNNNNNNNNNNNNNNNNNNNNNNNNNNNNNNNNNNNNNNNNNNNNNNNNNNNNNNNNNNNNNNNNNNNNNNNNNNNNNNNNNNNNNNNNNNNNNNNNNNNNNNNNNNNNNNNNNNNNNNNNNNNNNNNNNNNNNNNNNNNNNNNNNNNNNNNNNNNNNNNNNNNNNNNNNNNNNNNNNNNNNNNNNNNNNNNNNNNNNNNNNNNNNNNNNNNNNNNNNNNNNNNNNNNNNNNNNNNNNNNNNNNNNNNNNNNNNNNNNNNNNNNNNNNNNNNNNNNNNNNNNNNNNNNNNNNNNNNNNNNNNNNNNNNNNNNNNNNNNNNNNNNNNNNNNNNNNNNNNNNNNNNNNNNNNNNNNNNNNNNNNNNNNNNNNNNNNNNNNNNNNNNNNNNNNNNNNNNNNNNNNNNNNNNNNNNNNNNNNNNNNNNNNNNNNNNNNNNNNNNNNNNNNNNNNNNNNNNNNNNNNNNNNNNNNNNNNNNNNNNNNNNNNNNNNNNNNNNNNNNNNNNNNNNNNNNNNNNNNNNNNNNNNNNNNNNNNNNNNNNNNNNNNNNNNNNNNNNNNNNNNNNNNNNNNNNNNNNNNNNNNNNNNNNNNNNNNNNNNNNNNNNNNNNNNNNNNNNNNNNNNNNNNNNNNNNNNNNNNNNNNNNNNNNNNNNNNNNNNNNNNNNNNNNNNNNNNNNNNNNNNNNNNNNNNNNNNNNNNNNNNNNNNNNNNNNNNNNNNNNNNNNNNNNNNNNNNNNNNNNNNNNNNNNNNNNNNNNNNNNNNNNNNNNNNNNNNNNNNNNNNNNNNNNNNNNNNNNNNNNNNNNNNNNNNNNNNNNNNNNNNNNNNNNNNNNNNNNNNNNNNNNNNNNNNNNNNNNNNNNNNNNNNNNNNNNNNNNNNNNNNNNNNNNNNNNNNNNNNNNNNNNNNNNNNNNNNNNNNNNNNNNNNNNNNNNNNNNNNNNNNNNNNNNNNNNNNNNNNNNNNNNNNNNNNNNNNNNNNNNNNNNNNNNNNNNNNNNNNNNNNNNNNNNNNNNNNNNNNNNNNNNNNNNNNNNNNNNNNNNNNNNNNNNNNNNNNNNNNNNNNNNNNNNNNNNNNNNNNNNNNNNNNNNNNNNNNNNNNNNNNNNNNNNNNNNNNNNNNNNNNNNNNNNNNNNNNNNNNNNNNNNNNNNNNNNNNNNNNNNNNNNNNNNNNNNNNNNNNNNNNNNNNNNNNNNNNNNNNNNNNNNNNNNNNNNNNNNNNNNNNNNNNNNNNNNNNNNNNNNNNNNNNNNNNNNNNNNNNNNNNNNNNNNNNNNNNNNNNNNNNNNNNNNNNNNNNNNNNNNNNNNNNNNNNNNNNNNNNNNNNNNNNNNNNNNNNNNNNNNNNNNNNNNNNNNNNNNNNNNNNNNNNNNNNNNNNNNNNNNNNNNNNNNNNNNNNNNNNNNNNNNNNNNNNNNNNNNNNNNNNNNNNNNNNNNNNNNNNNNNNNNNNNNNNNNNNNNNNNNNNNNNNNNNNNNNNNNNNNNNNNNNNNNNNNNNNNNNNNNNNNNNNNNNNNNNNNNNNNNNNNNNNNNNNNNNNNNNNNNNNNNNNNNNNNNNNNNNNNNNNNNNNNNNNNNNNNNNNNNNNNNNNNNNNNNNNNNNNNNNNNNNNNNNNNNNNNNNNNNNNNNNNNNNNNNNNNNNNNNNNNNNNNNNNNNNNNNNNNNNNNNNNNNNNNNNNNNNNNNNNNNNNNNNNNNNNNNNNNNNNNNNNNNNNNNNNNNNNNNNNNNNNNNNNNNNNNNNNNNNNNNNNNNNNNNNNNNNNNNNNNNNNNNNNNNNNNNNNNNNNNNNNNNNNNNNNNNNNNNNNNNNNNNNNNNNNNNNNNNNNNNNNNNNNNNNNNNNNNNNNNNNNNNNNNNNNNNNNNNNNNNNNNNNNNNNNNNNNNNNNNNNNNNNNNNNNNNNNNNNNNNNNNNNNNNNNNNNNNNNNNNNNNNNNNNNNNNNNNNNNNNNNNNNNNNNNNNNNNNNNNNNNNNNNNNNNNNNNNNNNNNNNNNNNNNNNNNNNNNNNNNNNNNNNNNNNNNNNNNNNNNNNNNNNNNNNNNNNNNNNNNNNNNNNNNNNNNNNNNNNNNNNNNNNNNNNNNNNNNNNNNNNNNNNNNNNNNNNNNNNNNNNNNNNNNNNNNNNNNNNNNNNNNNNNNNNNNNNNNNNNNNNNNNNNNNNNNNNNNNNNNNNNNNNNNNNNNNNNNNNNNNNNNNNNNNNNNNNNNNNNNNNNNNNNNNNNNNNNNNNNNNNNNNNNNNNNNNNNNNNNNNNNNNNNNNNNNNNNNNNNNNNNNNNNNNNNNNNNNNNNNNNNNNNNNNNNNNNNNNNNNNNNNNNNAACAAAGUACAGAAUUCAAGGGGGCAAAUCUUGGUUUCUUGCAUAUUUUUUUAUGCGGACGUUUGGAUUUUUUUUGGUGUCCUGAUGACAGAGAGAUUAUUAUUAUUAUUUAGCCUUAGACUAACGCGUCACCAAUAUAAGCCCAUUUCCCCACAAAUAGACAUAUUAAGACCCAUACGAGGAAGGAAGGGUCCCUCUUCACCUAAGCAAUGGAAUCACCCUUCAUCGGCCAUCUCCAAGAACAACCUACAUGGGUCCUUCUACUCUCAUUUCUGGGGUUCCUUUCUCUCCUCCAAACUUCCAUAACUCUUCUCAAAUGGGCCUACGCCGGCUUCCUCCGGCCAGGGAAGGACCUCAAGGCCUACGGCUCGUGGGCACUGGUCACCGGAGCCACCGACGGCAUCGGGAAGGCCUUCGCCUUCCAGCUAGCCCAUGAAGGACUCAACCUAGUCCUCAUUGGUAGAAACCCAAGCAAGCUUCGACGGGUCUCCGGCGAGAUAAAGGCCAGGCAUCCCUGCACCGAGAUCAAACUGGUCGUCAUGGAUUUGGCCGGCGAUUUAUCGGAUGGGAUUCGACGUCUCGAAGAGGAGAUCAAAGAGUUGGAGGUCGGGAUCUUGGUGAACAACGCCGGCAUGACGUACCCACAGUUCAUGUACUUCCAUGAGGUGGAGGAGGAGCUGUGGGAAGGUAUCGUGAAGGUGAACGUGGAGGCGACGACGAGGGUCACACAGGCCGUCCUGCCGGGGAUGAUGAAGAGGGGGAGAGGCGCAGUUGUUUGUAUUGGCUCAGCAUCUUCCGUGGUGGUGCCUUCGUUUCCUCUCGCUGCUGUGUAUGCUGCUACUAAAGCGUGAGUACCACCUCUCAUACUUUGUGUUCUAUUCUUAUGGCUCUUCCAAAAUUUGAUAUAAGUAACGGACUCUUUGGACCGUUGCAAGAGAAAAAAAGUAGCGAUUGUAAGUUGGAGAAUGAUGAAAAAUGAUGAAAAAUAACGAUAUUAGUUAUUUGGUCGAAUCAUUUUUAACAAAAGGAGAGUAACAACAUUUGAACUGAUAUCGAAAUUUUAGAUUGAAGGAAAUAUUUUGAUUUAAUGAACAGUGGCUGAAGGUAAGCCAUCAUCACGUAAUAUAUUAUUUAUUUAUUUAUUUAUUUAUUUAUUUGGCUAGGACGGAUGGAUCAUAUUAGACGAGUAUGGAUGCAUCCAAUAAAAUCAAAAAAUAAAAUAUCUCGAAGUGUCAAGAGUAACUCUCCAUCUCUAGCCCACAGGGUACUACUUGAGUGGCUGGCAGUCACACAGUCUGCGGCCUCAUUAGCUUCACAAAAAUAUGCUAGGCCUAAAAACCCUUUUUAUCUCUCAUCAUGCUUCAGAUAUUUCGGAAUAAAGAAUGGACGCAACCAUUGCCUUUUGAUCCUCGGAUCUACGUACUAUUUAUUCAUAUAUACUCGUAGCUUACUAAGUUUUUUCUUUUCUUUUUUUUUUAAGGUAUGGGUGGGUUAAAUAUUUUAUUAAUAUAUAUAUAUAGAACUAGCAAUUUUAUAGGACUUUUGAAUACAUACGUACUCAAUCCAUAGUCAACAUGAAGAUAUUAUUACUUAUACCGUAUAGACCGUAGGGUAGUUAAUUACAGUCGCUCUUAUAUGCAGACUGUUACGCCCCCGCCUGCGCGAAGUACAUGGGGGCAACAUGAGGGAGAAACACGGGGCUCCCCUGCCAGAUAUUGUUCGGUUCCGGAGCUUCACGCAAGCCCGUCUGUGCAAGGCACGUGCCUGGAGGAUUAGAAGACACCCACCUCAUAUGCUCAGGCUCUGAAACGAGUCUUUUCGAUGUGAAACUAUUGAGCCUCACACAGAUCUUAUUUAUAUCCGGAUGCAUCAUCUUAGAAUCUAACUGUUGUGAUUGGCUGCAUGCACGAUGUGGUGAUGCAUACAAUAUUGAUAAUAAUUUCAGCUAUAGAUUUUUAAAAAUAUCCGCUACUGAUUUUGUCUGCCUGUAAUGACGUAUCCUCUGCCUCGACAACAGAAAGUAGGAGAUAAAUUUUCUUGCUUGUAUAUGAUUAUUAAAGUUCGUGAUAAGUGAAGUAGUUGGGGAGUUAUGAUGACAUGGCAAGUCGUCCAGUGGAGCAGGCAAAUUAACUUUCUCAUUUAUUGUCGCGGUCGGCACUGGAAAGUUUCAGGCUGCGUGCAACUGGGCCAUAUUAUGAUGUUUCAUUUAUUCAGCAUUAAGUAGUAGGAUAAGGCCAGAUUUACCACAGAUCUAAAUGAAUCUAGUAUCUAGAUACAGUUGAGUGCCACGAGGUUGAGGGUAGCUUUCCAACGAGAUUUGCUUUUCGAAUUUAUUUUUUUUUUCUUUUGGUUGAAAGGGAAGUAAAUUAUCUUGCAAAAUUUUUUUUUAUAAAAUCUGGAAGAGCGUAUCUGUUGGUAGCCUCGGUGGUACCAGGUAUAACGUACUCACACGUGGUAUUCGUGCCGGAAUCCAGAGGCCGGGGUAAUCGAGCCGGGCCCACGGAUGGAGAGGGUGUGAGUAAAACCGGCUGGAAUGCCCAACACACGGUCAUUUCUGCCCGCAUCGAAUAUUCUUCUGACGAGGUAGGGGCCCAAUGAGGGCUGCUAUGCGGAGGUGGACUUGUCCCUUCCUCCCUCCUUCCCUUUUUUUUUUAGUUAAAAAAAGAUUUUUUUUUUUUCAAACAUGGUUAAGUUGAUUAUAGUGUCUUCAUUGAUUAAUAUUCCCGCAGAAUCUUGAUGCUAGUACUUGGCAGAUUUAUUUUCACUUUUCUCCUUUUUGACUCGUGCCUUAUCUACAGAGGACUAAAAAUCAAGAGUAAUCGGAAAAAAAAAGAGGUGAAAUGAUUAGAUCAAAAAACUAGAAUCAUGGCACAUUGGUUACUUGUUCUCAAGAUGGGAAAUGGGUUCGGGCCGGCCUGAAACUCAUCGGGCCAGGCCGAGUUUGGGUUGGGCGACGAGCUAGGCUCGAAAAAUUUUGGGCUGAAUUUGGGUUUAAUUAUAGAGCCCAUUUCUUUUUCAGGCCAGGUUCGAAUAUAUCACUGGCCCGGUCAGGGCCCAACUCGAGCCUGAGCCUAAAUUUAGGCCCGAAUCCAGCCUGAUUCAAUCAUUUAGGCUCAUUCUAAAAUGGGCCCGAUCAAUACUUUAAGUCUCCAGUGGAUAUAUUGGGCUAGUGAAAUAGUGGGUUUCAGAGUAUGUUUGAUUAGUUGGUUGUUUUAGUUGUUUUGUAUUAGCCUUAAUUUAACAGCCGAAUAUUGAAUUUAACUAAUUUAUUUUGAGUGUCAUUCAAAGAUUGUUUUUUUGGGGGUCUGGGCCAGCCUAGUUUUAAACCCAAACAGGUACUUCAAGCUGGCCUAAUUAGUUCAGGUGGAGCUCGGAUCGGGCUUAAACUAAAAGUUUUUCAAAUAUUUUCGAGCCUAAGUCCAGCCUGAAGCCCAAAAUAAUUUUUAGACCCGGCUUGGGUAGAGAUGUGUAAGCCCGGCCUGUUUGUAGCCCUCCUUUUUCUCUCAUGAAAGGACAACUUAAAAAAACUUAAUAACUACAUUAUCUAAAUUAGAAAGAACAAACUGCUUAGACUUUUUUGUCUUGUUAGGUAUGGUUGGAGAGUAAGGCAAGAUUUAGACUAUAUAGCAGUUAGCCAUAACUUAAUUUCAUAUGGAAAUGAAAAGAAAUACAUAUUGAAUGAGAGCAUCAAGAUCAGUCAAUACAACAUAGUUUUUUCACUGCAUGAAUAGUAUAUUUCAUAUUUUAUGUAACACAUAGAAGCCAAUUCACUGUAGUGUUAUGAUUUCCUUGAUUAACUCUUCCUAAGAUAUAGUGGCAAUGCUAAAUCACAUUGAAUUUCAUUCUCUACUUCCAAUAUUAUCUAAAUAGUAAUCAAUAAAUAAUUAAGUAGCUUUUAAACAGCUCAACAGAAAUGAAAGUUAAUUGAUUCCAUCUCUCAUAUGUUAAAUUGCUUUAGACUUUCAACAUCCAAUCUUUUUUACUUGGGCAACUAUUUUUUGCCUGCCCGUUCUCUCUAUUUGUGUAUGUGUUGAUGAAACUGAAGGAUGGUCCUAUUUUUUUCUGUCAGGUAUGUUAAUCAGUUCUCUAAAAGCCUAUACGUUGAGUAUAAGAGCAUGGGGAUCGAUGUGCAGUGUCAGGUUAGUCCUUCCAUCUUAUAAUUAUUGCUUACAUAUUUUUACUCUUCUUCAUGAGCAUUAUAAAGUUUUGGCUAAUACAACUUUUUCUUAACACCUCUAAACUAUGGUUCCCAAUGGUUGUGAGUCAAAUCUAACAUGUAUCUGCAUUAAAAUCUAAUAAGAUUACAUUGUUUACAGUCAAUAUUGUCACUGUAGUUGCCAUUAAUAUGAUCACUGUAUCUGCAUUAAAUCUUUUCUCAAACUAAAGACAAAAAAAUGUUUGGCUAUCCUAUCCAAGUAAUGUCAAUUUUGUCCUUCUACAAUUUAUAAUGCAAUGGAGCAUUGAAAACAAAGAAUGGAAAACUUGUGAAUAAGCUUGAUAGGACGCAACGUAAUGGACGUAGUAGGAAUUUAAAAUAAAGCACUGACUACAUAAUUCUUAAAAAUAUUAUUUAAGUUAUAGUUUUCACAUAUUAAGAGUUUAACCAUGAAUUUAUUUUAUUCUUAUAUCUGAUUUAAAAUUUUGGAUGCAGAUCCCCUUAUAUGUGGCAACAAAAAUGGUUAGAAUCAAGCAAUCCUCUAUGUUCAUACCAUCAUCAGAUGGCUAUGCUUCUGCUGCUGUGCGUUGGAUAGGCUAUGAGCCACAAUGCACUCCUUACUGGCCUCAUUACAUUCAGUGGUGCUUGGCUUAUUUAUUUCCAGACUUUAUCCUCAAUUCAUGGCUUCUAUAUGUGGGAAAUAGAAAGAAAAGCCAGGUAAAAAAAUUGAGAAGGGAAUGAAAUGUCUCUUGAUCUUUCUCUUUAGUAAAAACUGUAUACUAUUAGUGCUACUGGAAAUGAUUUUCCAGAAAGUACGAAGCAUAAAGACAUAUAAUUAUUAAAUAUUUAUUGUAAAAGCAACAAAUCAAGGUAUUAAGAUGGACUAUGGUUUCCUAAUGGAAGAAAAGUGUCUAUAAUUGCCAUAAAGUAUUAAAGUGUUAGAUUGUCAUGCUAGAUUUAAUUGUCCAUGACAUGCUCCUCCCUCUUGACCCUAAAGCAUAAUUAGUUCACUGUGGUUCAAAUUCAAUGCUUUGAAGAUUUAACAUCAAGUUUAAAUAUGUUACAGUGAUUUUCUUAAUUCUCAAAUGCAAUGUUCCUUGUAAUAUGCUUCAUAAUCAUUAAGAUAGGUUCGUACAUGCAUCGAAACAUAGUCUUAAGCUUAGAUGACAAUAUCUUGAUGAAACAAGGUCACCCUUAUGAUUUUUCACACAUCUAUAUUCGAAUUAUAUUCUUCUGUUCGAUUUUCUAUGAUUAUUCUCCUAUUUGUUAAUCUAGACUCGAAUGCUCAUCCCUUAUAUCAGUUCUUCUGGAGCCUUAGCUAAUAGCUCUAACACAUGCCCGCUAAUCUUUGCUUCUAGUUCCAUAUAAUUGAACUUGAGUUCAAAUGAUUUUUCUUUGAUUAUUCUCCUUUUUGUUAAUCUAGGCACUUGAAUGCUUAUCCUUCUUUAUAUUAGCUCUUCUUGGACCUUGGUUAAUAGCUCUAAUCGUAUGCCCACUAAUCUUUAUUUCUAAUUCUAUAUAAUUGAAGAUUUCAAAGACAUAUGCGAUUUCUAACGCAAAAAAAAAAAGACAUCUUUGAUAGGAGUUCUUAAAAGCUAGCCUUGUGAGCAAGCUUUUUAUAGGGUUAUAGAAAUUUUAAAAAUAAUUUAAAAACUAUAUAUUAAUUAGAUCUAAGAAUAAUAGUAAUAAUCAACAUCAGUAGGAGCAAUACUAGCCGUAGUUAUAAUAAUAGUAGUUUGAAUAUAUUCAAGCAAAAAUCUGGUGACUCUUUGGCUUUCUUUUAAGAAAAUGAAGUUAUCCGUGUUAAUUCAACAUACCUAAAAGGGUAGCUUUAUUUAUUUAAUUUUUGGGGGGAUAAAACUAUUUUAGUUUAAAAUGAUAGCUUCGAGAGAAUAAUGAUAUUCAAAAAUUGCUGUUGGAUCCUCCACGUUCACUUAAUCCGAAAUGAAAACAAGUUUAUGUAGCCAAAUGGUGAUCUAAAACCUUAAGAUCAGACACAAGAUCAAGCGAAUUCUUGCAUUGGCAUGUGCAUCAUGCAUGCUNNNNNNNNNNNNNNNNNNNNACAUGCAGGAUAAAUAUACCAAUGGUUCGACAUGCGACACCAAUUUAGCACCUUGAUUCAUCCUAACAAAACUUUCAGGUCUAUUCAUGAAAUGGUAUAUGGGUUAUUGCUUACUCUGGUCACAAUAAACGUUAGAGAAUAACCUGGUUUUCCUCAAGAACAACAAUUAUAUCACGAAAUUAUAUAGUCCAGUUGCAUUGGUCUUAAACCAAUAGUAAAUUCUAGGUGGUCAAUCUAAACCAUUCACUUCCAAGAAGUACCUUUGCCAUUUCACUUCUCCAACUUCUGAUUGAUGUCCACUUGGAAACCAGCUCCUGAUCUUAACGAAGAAUUAAUGACUAUUUAUAAGUGACAAAAUAUUGAUGUGAUGUCCUUUCCUUGAAUGUUAUAACAUAAAGCACCAUAUUUAGGCGUGCAAAAGAGUUUUGAAGCUUAUGCAAACAAAUGAUUAACUACUAAGCAGUAUGUGUCCUGAAUCAUAUACUCAAAACGGAUGUCUUAAACUUUUUUUUUCUUUUCUUUUUCUUUUGCGUGUGUAUGGGUUCACGAAGAAAAUGGCGAGGGUUUUCUUUCAUGAUGGAAAUGCUGAUUUUGCCCGUUCCUCACUUAAAAAAUAUAUAUAUUUUAAAAAGAAAUUGUUCGAAGCUAGCAUAUGUAGAGAUGCAAAUGAGCCAAGCAGAUCAUGAGAUUCUUACAAAUAUCAAAGUCUCUGCCAAAUUCUAUCGGUUCUAUUCGGCCGAGAAACAGUUGAGUAGAUGGAUAUAUAACUUCAAACAUAAUGUGAAUCUGGUCAUCUUCUAGUACUCCAUGAAAAAAGUGAGGAGAGAGUUGUUUGCAAGAUGAAAAGGUUGGUUCCGCUGUUAAUGAUCAUUAGUAAAUAUUUCCCUUUACAAGUCAGAGAGAGAGAGAGAAGGUUGCCAGCUUCAGUCCUAUUACAAAAAAAUUGCUCUUCAAAACUGGCAUUUUUUUUUUCUAAUGCUUUUGAAAGAAUGGAAAGGCCUAUUUUCCUCACAAGCAUGUACCCACCUCUCCUCUCCAUCACCACCCUGGUCAAACAGAGCCACUGCUCAUAAAACCAGGGCUUAUUACAAUCAAGGUUAAAGCAAGAGCUACAUCUUGUGAAACCGAGCAAAAUCCAUCCCUUUUCUAAAGUAACAAGAGAUGUACCAUCCAAACCAAAGUUCCAUAGCAAGCUGAUAUUACAAUUAGUACAUGAAAUUGGUGCUUUAUGUCAUAACUUCAUCAACACCAAUCCUAAAAACCAUAUUGUUCCCCUCAUGCAAUGGACCAGCAAGAUUACAGAUCUACAUUUGCAAAUAAUUAUGGAAGAAAUGAAAUGCAAUACAAUCAAUUGUUUUAUUAAAAUACAUAAUCGGCAUUUAUAUUUAUGCAGGUUCCUCAAAUCAUAUCAUCUUACAAACCCAUCAGCAAUGUAACUAGGAGAGUUAGUCAAACAGACAUUCUCAGUCGCAGAUCACAUCAAUUUGUUAGUUCCAACAGAGGAGCAAAGCCUACACUGUUACGUAGGUGCGACAAGGGCUUGUUAUGGCUUGCGCCAUUGCCGUGGAGCGAAGCUUUCUUUCUCUAAUGGCCGGGUCUUCUAACAGCAGCACCUUGUCCCUAUCCUGAACCCCCACCAUAUGAAGGCGAUCACCAUCCUCUCUCUCCUUUCCUCUAAAUAGGAGUCUCUGCUCUCUUGGCUCCAAGCCCGUUACCAGAGAUAAUACCACCUUCAACUCUCCUGCAUCGCAUAAUAAAACCAAAUAAUUAAUGUUCCAUUAAUCUUGCACUUGAAAAAGGCAAGAUUAAUCUUGUAGCCCCUACUAUAAAUACUAACUCUCCACCUACCAAAAGUAGAAGUUGCUAAGAUGGAGAUGUCAUGCCACCAUGAACCGGUUGUGAUCCUGAGUUGAAUCACUUCUUCAUCCUCUUCUCCUCCACUCGCUCUCUUCUGGACCAGCAUGCCUCCAGGCCUCAGCUCCCACCCGAUGUCCCCCCGGCCGCAGCCACCACCACCUCCUCCUCCACAACUAAGCUUGGACUUGCUCUUGAAAAGCCUCCUUGAUCUUAACUUAAUCAUCUCUCGAUAUCUCUCUAGACAAGUCCCUCCUGCCUAUCUCCUCAGUUGGUAGGAAGAAGAAAAGAGAGACAUGAAGUGUAUUUAUAAUGGUUGGGACUUGGGGAGAGGCCAUGGAACUAGAGACAGGUGUGCAUGAUGCUCGUAAGAAUAAAGACAAAGGCUAACAUGGGAGGGGCCUGUUUAAGCCCGAGAUUACGGAGGCUGGGGAGCAGCACAUGGGUUGGCAACCACGCGUUGCAUGAAUAACGGGCCAACACAGUCAUACCAGGCGGCGGAUUACAUGUUGAUCGAGAAAUGUUCUUAUUUUUUUACGGGUAGAGGUUGGUGGAGAGCAUGGGAUGGAUGCCAUGGAAAUGGUGAAGAGGUUGAGAGGAGAAUAUACGUGGGAACACAGUUGUGUUAAAAUAUUUGUAGAAGAGAAAGAGAGAGAGAGAGAGAGAGAGAGAGAGAAGAAAGUAAUUUUAUUUUUUUCUAAUAUAUUAGGUACAUCGCAAUAGUUAUAUAUACUCGUAUACAGGCUACAUAUAAGAAAAAGAAUGUAGACUGAUAUAACAUCAGACGAAUAAAAGAAAAUAAUACUCACCGAUACAAGUUGUUAUGUGAUUCCUAAAAUCGCUCUAACAAGAUUAUGCUAAUAAAGAAAAAUAAUGCUGAUCGAUAAAGGAUUACGCUAAUAAAGAAAAAUAAUAUGGGCUGAUAUAGGUUGAUAUAUGAUUUCUAAAAUUAUUCUAACAUCAUUUCUCAAACUCAAGAUGAUAUUAUCAGUGCCAACUUGAGUUUGUAAACUAGAUCACGAAUGUACCUAAAAACUGGAGUACUGGAUCAAGAGUUGAAGCAUCAGCUCAGAAGUUGAUGUAGCAGAUUAGAAAUUGACGUAACAAUUUAGAAGCCGAUAUGGUAGACUGAUGUGUCUGACUGACGUGAUAGACUGACAUGUUCGUUGAUAUGGCUGAUUGAUUUGUCUGAUGAUGUAAUAGCGAGAAGACAGAAGAUUACAGUUGCAGCGAGGACAUAACUCAAAGAGAAGGCAACCAAAUAUCAACGAUCCUUAUAGACGGAGGCACCAUGCAGGAGGACUAAUUGGCUAAUUGAUUUGUUUGAUGAUGCGGCAAUGAGUAAACACAUAAAAGAUAACAAUUGCAGUGAGGACAGAGCUCAGAGAGAAGGCAGCCGAAGGUCGAUGAUCCUCGUAGAUGGAGGCACCAUGGAAGAGGAGCAAUUGGCUUUAAAUUGGAUGUCGAAGGAGCUGAAGGCAGCAAUAAAACCAAAGAUGGAGAGAACGGGGCCAAGCGACGAUGAGGAAAGACGACCGAAGAUCUGAAGCUGAGAAAAAAAAUAACGGAGAGGAGCUGUGGAUUCAUUAAAAAUAAAUGAUCUUCAUAUAUUAAUCUACCAAAAAUAGAGGAUAUGCAGAUCUACUAAUGAGAUUAAUAUUGAUUCAUUAGAAAAUAGAUAAUCUGGGGAGAAACAGAAGAUCUGCGAAUCCACCAAAAAAUAGAAAAUUUUCGGAUAUUGAUUCACCGGAGAACGGAGAUCGAUAGAUCAAUGAUAGGGGUCUAUAAAGUUGUUAUGUGAUUUCUAAAAUUAUUCUAACAUUUUAGGGGCAUGGAGAUCAUAGUUUGGUAUGGUUUUGUUGUGCGCUGUCAUGCAUGCAAUAGAUAUGGGAUAAUCUUUCAUCCAUGUGAAGGAGAUGUAGCUCGUGUCCUUUAGCUCUUUGGUGGUUAGAUAUCAAGAUCCAGGGUGACAAUUGGAUAAAAGUAUCGACAAAUCUAUAUCAAAAUCCAAAUGAUAUUAUGUGCUCAUAUCUGGAUUGUCCAUGAUGAAAGAUUUCAGAUAUAUGGAUUCAAUAUUAAAUUAGAUUUGGUUUGUCCCUCCAUCCAUGAUAAGAUUAAAUAAACCUGAAAAUAUGGACAGCCAUGAGCAUAUGUAUGACAAUGAAAUGCUCGCAUCUCUAGUUACAAUCUACCUAGUUACCAUUAAAAAUCCCCAUCACAUACAUGGUUAGGUAUCCUAUCAAGCGAGUAGGCGCAUCGAAAUGUUUCAUGGAGACGAGAUUAGCAAGGAGAAUUUUUAAUGUUUUUUGUUUUUCAUAUCAUUUCUCCAAGUAGAUUGUUCCAUUUGGAUAAGCUUAGUUAUUGAUAGGAUCCCAUCUUUUUAGGAAGCAAAGCUUUUUGGUACAAAUCUAAGCUUUAUUUGCUACGUGUUAAGUUGCAUAUCACAUAAUUUCAGAACUUGAGAAAUAUCAUGUCCCAAUACCAUGAUCCAAGGUUUCAAUAUUCUUGAUAUGACUGAAUAACAAGAAAACAACUAGAACUGUUUAUAGCAUUAUAAGCGGAAAUAAUGAUCGUUAUUUGUCCCAAGUCAGAUUUAGAUGAAAUUUUCUUGGGAACACAAAUAUUAUAUAUAUAUAUAAUUAAAAUAACAUCAUCAUCGAAUCCUGGUUCAGAUGGGUUGGGCGGGGGGGUUCGAAUUCAAAGGCCACCUCCCCUUGCUCUAGUAUCCUGGUUUUAUGAGCCAUGCGUUAGUCUACCCAAGGAUAUUCUAAACUUCAACCUGAGUGAGAUUUCUUGGGUUUUAAGGUAGCGAGAUUGAUAAUAGCUCUCCUAGUCUAAAUUAAAGAAAAAUGUUAAUUAGCAUAAUUUAUUUUCUGCACUUGGUCAAGGGGAAAUCGAUUUCAUAUUUAAUGUGACACUAUUAAUUCAUCUUUCUAAACUAAAAUGAAGACUUCGAUUUCAGAAAUUACUAUUUCAUCAAGCAGGAAAAAUGUCAAAUGAUGGCUAUUACAACUACUAUACGCACUGCAGCAGCCAUUAUAACAAAAUUAUUCCCUAAAUAAUGGUUGUUAUUGAAAUUCUCAGCCAUUAUCUGUCAUAGGAGGGUGAUGCAUCAGAUUUGUGAUUUUUUUUUUCAUGAGAUUUCUCCGUCUCAUUUUGAUGAUAAUCGUUAAAAUCAGGCAGGAUUUUUCUUUAAUGGGUAAGCCCAACAUAUGAAAUUUUGUAAUAAUUGGGUUAAAGAGUCAACACUUCUGCUCUGAUACCAUGUUGAAAUCACCACUUAUCCUAAAAACUUAAACUUAUAGAAUGAGAUAGAUUUAUUUAUAUAUUUUAUAUUUUCUUACAAUAAUUUAGCCGAUCAGGCUAAUACAACAAUGCUUUAAACUCCAAUGCACCAUCUCAGCCAAUUUGAACAAAAUGAGAUGCCAUCUCAAUGGUGCCUAUGCCAAUAGUUUAUUUUAUCUAAGUCCAAUCCUAAGUAAAGCUUAGCGUCCAGAAUCUAGAAACAUGCACAAGAAAAGAUAUAUGAGAAGGCGAGAUCACAUGAACUAAGAGAAGAAACUUCUUGUUUUCUUUUUCCUUUUUUUUCCCAUUAUUUCUCAUCUUGCUUCUGCCUGUGCUACAUUUCAUUUAUCAAUGAAUAUUUCGGUAGUUUUCCACCGUUCAGCAAGGAAAAAAAAUAUAGAAUUUUUUUUUCUUCUGAUACUAAGGGAGGCAGAAGCCACCCAAAACUUUACUAAGGAAGUGGUAUUUACAGAGAAUGUGACUUACAGGAAAGAAGUAUAGGGCCUGUCAAAACAGAACCAUGGAUAUCAGCAGUAAUCAACAAAACCUAAAAGAGAUAAGAAGAUAUCAAUCUAUAACUGUGCAGGAGUUAAAGGAUUGAGGGGAAGCAUUACUUUCCACAACCCUUGAGAGAACUAACAUGGGAGGAGCCCUUCUUUCUUUCUUUCUUUCUUUCUUUCUUCUUCUUCUUCUUUUGCUAAAACGGAAGUAUCAUACAUAACGUGUAUGGAUACAGCCAAAAAAGUCAAAAAACAGUACGUCACAAAGAGCACUAGGCAACUCCGCCUCUCCCACCAUAAGUGUUCAUCUGAAUGGUUGGCGACAAAGAAAGCAACUCAAUCAGCAGCCCCAUUUGCCUUCCUAAACACAUGCUUCGCCUGGAAGACCAUCCCAUCCGGCAACAUGACCCAGAUGUUCAUCAACAGAAGGUGGUGGUCGCCAACCCCUCCUAAAUCCUGCCCAAUCCAUCCAAUGACCAUCGCCGAGCCGCCCUCUUCUUUAAGUGUAGUUUGUGGGGCUUGGAAGCAGCGCAUGGGGGCUGGCAGCACGCUUUGUAUGAAUAAUGGGCCAACGAAAUCAUUGCAGCAGCCGGCUUAGGAUUGAUUUAAAUCAAAAUAUUAUUCUUAAAGUGCAGAGGUUGGUGGACACCAUGGGAUGAGCACCUUAGAAGUGGUGUGGAUGUUUUGAGGAGAAUAUAUGUGGGAACAUGGAGUUAGUUGAUAGGUUGGCGAGCCAAUCUUUAUAUGACAUCUGAGUAAAUUAUCCUGCAAUUGGGGAGCAUCAUGUGGUAUCUUCCAUGGGAGGGAGAUGAGUCCAGCUUCAUUGUGCUGGUAUUAUUUAAUGAGCUAGAUUUUGGACAGACAUCCAAUAUGCGUCCACAUAUGGGAUCAUAUCUAGAUUCUUAAGAAUGAUAGGAUGUAGAUCUGAAUGCAUAUAUAGCAAGAAUAAUUGGAUUUAAUACCAGAGGAGAUUAGUUUAACUCAACAAAGUUAAUUGCCAAACUUAAACUCAUCACUGUUAAUGUAAUUCACCUAGUAUGCUCUAUAUUAUGUCCUCAAUUGUAAGGAACAUCAUUAAGAAUAUACAUUACCUGUUGAUAUGUCAGCCGUUUAAAAUGAAAAAAAAAAAAAUCUUUCCUAUGAAUCCUUUAUGCUGAAUAGCAUCAUCAUCUGUAUUGAUGGAUAGUUUCGAAGAUGAAUGCCUGAAUUCUUCCAUGCAUGCACCCGUUUGUUCCAUUUCCACAUUAAUAACCUCGAAGGCUCCUUGGCUCGCAUGUUUGAUGACAAAUGAUAAAGAUCACAUCAUAUAAAUAUUAUCUUUUUUCAUGAUGAUUAUUGUUUAAUAGGUGCUUCUUGCAGUAAAUCAAUAGUUAUGCACUAACGAUCCAUUUUAGAUUUAAUUUCAAGAAUAGAGAUGCAACCUAUGAAAAUCUAAUGUAACAAUGUUGGUAUUGGAGGGUCUUAACAUGAGACAUGGUAUGGUCAUAUGGGUGUGAAGGAGGAAAGAUAUGAUAGCAUCCGCCAUGUUUGAUUCUAGAGGAAUUGCUGAAGACAAGACCAAAGCAAGACCGACUUGCUUUGGAUUGGACCCCUAAGACAACUCGGCAGAUAUAAGAAGCCUGUUACACCCUUCAUAGAAAUUUGCUAACAAAAUAAAACUUAUACACAACGAAGAAUUAAGAAAAUAGUUUAGCAUUAGUUACGCAAAUCAUAAGUAUUCUGAUGUUUUUUUCUAUAACAUAGUUUAGCCUUUGUUUUGUAUCAUUAUUUCAACAUGUGGUUGUCGCCGUUCCUUCUUAGCAGCUGCAGCAACAAUAUUAUUAUCAAUUAGAUCAUACUAAAAACUAAUUUUUCUUUGUAUCAGAUUCAAAUAAUCUUCUUUGUUCAGUUUAAUGGCUGAAGAUCUUUUUGCCUGCCUUCCUCCUUUCUUCACCCCAAAUCUUCCUAUGCCUUUUCUAGGUGUUGGUUGGGCUCCAUCUCUCUUUACCCAGCUUUUUUUUGUGUCCUCAUAGCGUAGGAGCAAUAAGCCUUAUUCCUGAUCCUGAAUCAAGGUAAGGAGGUUUUCUAAUUAGUUGGAAUUAGCUCAGAUUAUUGGUAUCUUUUCUCUAGUCUAUUAACUUGGUGAGUCUGAAUCCUAUUGGUUUGUACUAUGAAAUCUAUACAUAUUUUCUCAAAAAACCACCCAACAAGACUAGCAAGUACAAUCCUUAUCACUAUUCCAUUUGAAAGAAUAAUGGCAUAUUAAUCCAACCUAUCAUUAUUCUUUCCCCUAAAUGUGGGAUCUUUUUAGAAAUUUCUCAUUAUAUUAUUUAAAAAAAAACAUUUAGAACAUAUAUGAAAGAAACUAAAUUUUGAUCAUAAAAUAGCGAUUUGUGGAGACACUUAUAGAAUCUAGAUCGGUCAUACACACGAUACAAAAUUUUCAACAAUGUUACCUUGGACCGCUCAUCCGAAGUUUGGCGAUCAGCCCUAAAUGUUUAAUUAAUUAUCUUUUAUAUAGCAAAUUUGGUUCAACAAGACCCAAGAUUCUUUAAUUAUUUUGUCCAAGGUUAGCAGAUGAACCUCCUUCAUCAAUACCUCUUAAUCCAACCCUACCCUAUUCUAUACAAUCUGAUCUACCUUAGACCUAAAUCUAACCUGGUCAACAUUCUAGCUUCUGGACUAGAUUCUGACCUAGUUGUCCUUUGGAUACGUAAUCUGACAAAUAUACCCACUACUCAUUAAACCAAGUUAAAAAAUACCCAUAGCACUCUUGGACAUUCUAGCAGACAGACCACGUGAUGGAAAUCAACACAUAUAAGAUGGUCCCUCCAUCAACUUGUGUAUUAAUUAUUAAAUGAGGUUAGAUAAUUAGAUCGGACCAUGGUUUGUUUUAUUAAGAAACUAAAUAGAAAACAAAUAUUUUGGUCUAAGCAAAAUACUGCACAUUCCUCAUUUCUGACUGUUGAUUCCACUAAUCACAAGUUUCCAAGUUUAAAUGGAUAUUUUAAAGUAUUUCUAAUAACAUCUAUGGAUGGCAAUUUGGCUGGAUCGGCUUAGAUACAUAAUUGAUCAAAAAUCUAUCAAUUGAAACCUGAUCUAUUUCUUAAAUGAGUCAAAAAUCAAAAUUCAAAUCUGAUUAUUUCAUUAAAUAGAUAAUCUAGCUCAAUCUCUAAUAGAUUGAAAUAAGUUAAAUGAAUUAAAUGAUUAAACAUUGCUACUCUUAAUAACUUCCUUAUCCUCUAUGACAGGAUGCUAUUUUCAGUUUCUUAGAUGGGUGAUGCCCACUUAGGCACAAUGCAUAUUUAUUGUCUAAUUUGGUUUAUCGUUUAAUUUGGUCCUGCCCCACACGCACGCAUGCGUGCACACACGAGCGCGCAAGCAUGCGUGCGCAACUUGCACAGUGCACAAACUGAUAAUAAUUGGAUUGACCAUUCACCAAGAAGCUAACUUGAUCUCAGCUCUAGAUAAGGUGCACUAAUUCGUCACAAAUCUUAAAACGCAGAUGGACAUCUGUAGCACCAUGUCCAUGCUUCUUCUUCUUUUAUUUUUUCCCUUUCUUUUUUUUUUGUUGAAAACGGCAAUUUUUCUUCUUUACCCUCACCGUGUUCCCCAGUAAACACGCCAUCCACAACGAAUUCCCAAGUAAACACGCCAUCCACAUCGAACGGAUCGACGAGGUCUCAACACAAGAAUCCAAUCAUGGACGUCAUCCAAAUAAAUCGUCCAUGCGUGCUCCGCCGGACCACCAGAUCGUAUUCUCCCUCUCUGGUAGUCCGAGAUAAGGACUCGGGAGACCGCCGGAGAAGAGAGGAGUCCUCUCCGCAGCGUUCGCAUCUCUCUCACGCCCUCCAACCACCUCUAUCAUUCCCAAAAUACCCCUCCUCCCAGCUCCUCUCCUCCGUCGCCACCAUGACCCUUCCCGAAAAGCCCCUCCUCAAACCUUUCCUCCUCCUCCUCUCCCUCUCCCUCCUCCUCCUCCUCACCCCUUCCUUCCGCCGUUCCUCCUCGCCCUCCGCCGCAUCCGACGCCGCCGGCGGGGCUGCCACCCCGCUCCUCCGCAUCCGCCCGGGCUACAAUUCCUACGACGACUACAUCAAGCACCAGCUAAACAAGACCCUCAACCCCCGUCUCCGCCGCGUCUGGGCCACCCGCGACUGGGACCGCAAAGUCCUCGUCUUCGCCCGCUUCUUCUCCGACAUGAAAUCCCGGGGCCUCCUCUCGAACAACUCCCGCGCGCUCUGCAUCGGCGCCCGCCUUGGCCAGGAGGUCGCCGCCCUCCGCAGCGUCGGCGUCGACGACGCCGUCGGCGUGGACCUCGUCCCCUCCCCACCCCUCGUCGUCGCCGGCGACUUCCACGCCCAGCCCUUCCCCGACUCCUCCUUCGACUUCGAGUUCUCCAACGUCUUCGACCACGCCCUCUACCCCGACCGCUUCGUCGCCGAGAUCGAGCGCACCCUCCGCCCCGGCGGCGUCGCCGUCCUCCACGUCGCCCUCCACCGCCGCGGCGAUAAGUACUCGGCCAACGACCUCUUCGGCGUCGACGGCGUCCUCAGCCUCUUCAAACACUCCGACCUAGUCCAUGUCUCCAACGUUGACGGCUUCGGCCUCGACACCGAGGUCGUCCUCCGGAAAAAAAAGCGUCCAAGCCAACAAUAAUCCUUCCCCCCUCUCUCCAUCCCCCGCCGUGGGCGGCGGCGGCCGCGGCCGCGGUGGUGGUGGUUAUUUUUCUUUUUAUUCAUUCUUGUUGUAUACUUUGGAAUCAUUCUUCACCAUCAUGGAAAAAAAAAAUACGGAAUUCUUUUUCGAUGGUCUCGAGGCAGAUUCCUUAUCUUUAUGCGCCGGCUCCGGCUUUUCCUUAUUCUCAGACUUUAUUUUUCGGGCAAUAUUACUAUUAUUGUAGCUUAGACUUGAGAUGCGACAUAUGGGGUGGUGGUUGGAAGAGGAAAUAGAACAGCUGGCCCGGAUCUUUUAUCUGGGCGGUUGGUGGACACGGGUAACGGUGCGUGCAUGUCUGCCACGUGUACUUUUGCCUUUUAGCUUGGUCAUGUCGCGCGUAGAACGGUUGGCGGUACAGCGGCGCGACAUUACGAACUUCGACGAGCUGGAAAUGCACUGGAAGCGGCUCGUUAGUACUGCCGCUAAUCAUGGCUGUAUAGACGGCAACUUGGACUUCAAUGCAGGGUGUGAAGUGGAGUUCAAUGUCCAGGCCAUUGAAAUUGCUCGUAGAAGAUGUGAGAUAUGGCAUAUGGGAGCCAUUGGAUCUUCUUGGGAAUAAAAUUGGGAUUACAAUAUGCUAUGAUAUGAAGUGCGCCCAUUUAUGUACACUAAGCUUGCACACACAAACAUUGUGCAAGCGCUGAGGAAGCCAUUUGGCUAUCUUCCUGUAUGCUUGCUUGCUGUUACAUGACAAUUAUGCUUCAUGGGAGGCAAAAUGGAUCAUCCUACUCCAGCAUGGAGCCACAUAAUUUCGAUCAGACCUCAGAACCAAGCAGGCCAGACCUUGGUUUCGCUAAAAGCUAGGCCGAUCUCGGUUCCUGCCGAAGACCGAGCCGACCUUGGCCCGAGACCGAUAUGAUCUCGGCUUUGUCAACCCUGAUCCCGUAGAUCCCCCGAACAAAAGGAAUGGUUACUCCCUAAGACCCUAUAUAGCCUAUCUCAACGGCUCUAAUCGGGCUGCUCAGGCGGCCGAGCGGCUAGAUCAUGUUACGUGGCAGAUCCAGAAGCUUCCUUAGCAAAUCUUCCUGAAUUGCGGUGUUAAAGGCCGAUCAUCAUGAUGGCCAUCUCGGGGGCACAGAAAUGAUGAUUGGCCCCUCGCGUACCAUCAGGUAACACUUUGAGAGGAAGCGUGUGUGCACGCAACGCAUUGAAGAGCUCCCUCAACUAUUUCCGCUUGGAAUGACGUAACGGAUUCUCAGAACAAAUCUGGAAAGAUAUCUCUCGCAUCCUCCUCCUGUGGGAUUGAUCUUCAUGAUUCAUGCUGCCUCCAGCUAAUGGCAAACUGAUCACGAAUCGGUCCGAGACUUUAGGUAACGGCCAAAACCCUCACCCUAUAAAAAAGAAGUAGAGAAAAGCUCUCGAGAAUUGUGAAAAACACUCAGAAACCUCUCCAAAAACUAUGCUAACUUAGCCAUCAGAGGGCCUUCGUCGGAAUAUCUGGCCAAGGCUUUGUGUAGGUAUCCCGGAGCGCAGGAGGUGGGCUCCCUUUCUCCAUCUCAGCCGGCGUCUUCUCGGCUUCCCCUCCGGCGUGGUAACCCUCAGGCCAAAUUUCAACCACAACAACGCUGAUUGGGUUGCUGCUUCCUUUGCGGCUCACCGCUCCAGAGGUUUUAUUUGGGCGAACCAUGUUUCUAUGCAUGAGCUUUUGUGUGCUCUUCUAUUUUAUAAUUUGUUGGCCAUAUUUACAUCCGUCGUGUGUGAGCUGCCGUUAUAUCCAAAAAAAAAAAAAAAAAAAGUCCGUACCUCUAGGGUAGGCUAUAUAACUGCCUCCUCAGCAAUGGUACUACACUCAGAUGCAAGUUAAUGAUCUUUAUUUAUUAUAAUACAUGAUGUUUCAAAUUAAAAGUUUGUUUGGAGAAUCUAGUAGGAUUGGCUUUUCUGGAUUCAGCCCAUCUGGCCAUGUGGCCUGUAUCGACCACAACCCCAAGCCAAUUGGUGGAUUGUGACCUUUUGGACUUCAAGAGGUAAAACUUGCCUGCUGACCCAUCCCAUUGCUUAUUUACUGGGUAUUUAGUGAUUGGAGCAUUGGAUGCCUUGCCCCAAGGAAAUUCACAAGUCAUUAAGCAAUGCAGGUCAGUCUGUUCAUUCUCUGUUACCUUGAAUUCUUGCAGAUUUUUUAAAAAAAUCUAUAUAUCACAUUAGCUUAUCACUUUAUUUUAAAAAAGUGAAGCGCAAGAGAUAAGCAUAUUCGCAAGUAAAACAACACAUAAUACUCAUUUCCAUAUGGUUUUAGACACUGUUUGUUGUAAAGAUGACGGAUGUGCUUAGCUAACUAGAUUUGACAUCUUAUGAUUUUAUAACUCCUCUGAGCACAUGUAAUGGCUAAACCAAUAAUUACUUACCCAGAUGGAUUGCAUCAUAUGAUCUAUGUUUAAAUUGUGAUACCAUUGGUUUCUAUGAGGAAGUUGGACGCAAGUCAACACUUCACUGCAUUUUAGCAUCUUAGAAUUUUCUGUAACUUUAGAUCAUAAGGUUUAAAUAUGCUUGUUUUAUCUUGAUAUGACAUGCCAAAUGAAAUUUACUUCAUGCUCAUUACUCAAAGUUUGGGUUCUAAGACUCGACCUCAAAAUUAAGAAGUACAUGUACAUAGCCAUGUGUUUUGAGUCCCCUUUUCAAAGAAUCUGGCAGCUAGCUAUAGCAUAGGACAGAAUUUAAGUACUUGCAUCAGGUAGCUGCACUCGCAAUACUCUGGUAGCUGGCUCAUGCAUCAUAACAUCAGUCAUUUCCUUGAAAGGUUGGGAGGAAAAAGAAACAAGAAGAAUGGAUGGAACCUCUUCAUCAAUGAACUGUUUUCUAUUACUGGAGUUGUCCAAGAAGUGGGCAGCUUGAAGAAACAUGACACCAUCUUCUUGCUUUCAUAUUGAAGAGUGCACUCGACAAUGGAUGAAUCGAUGCGAAGGGACCCUCUGCUUAGAGGAUUAAGUGCAAGCAAUUUAUGCUACCAAUUGUGCAAGCAAGCAAACUAUCUAGGAGGAUGAGGGGAGGGGAACUCUUGGUGUAAAUGUUGAAGACAGUAGUUGCUGUUUAGGACAGAGGUACAAACAUAGUGUAGUUCAGCUGGAUGGAAGUCAUUUCAGAUCUCUUGGUUGCAAUCUUCAAGAUAAGAAGAGAAGCAAAUGGUUAAGUGGCAAUUGCAAUUCUUCUGUAUGAUUGGUAACAUAAUGAAGCUGCAUUGACAUUUGGAAACAACAGGGUUAUCUGUGUUUAUAUGAUAACUCCAGGCAGCUACUAUGGGAGGACUCAUAAACUGAUGUAAUUACCCUUAUCAUUGUAUGUCUUAUACCAGUAUCUGUUUUCAAAUCUAGAAUGCUUAAGACUCAUUUGUACACAUCUGAUUUAACUUGGAUUCUUUCAUUGUCUGAGAAGUUUAAAAUACCAUUAUCUAUUCAUUAAUAUCGAAAGAGGAAUAUUUCAAAAUUGGUUUCUAACAACAAAAAAGUGGAUUUAUGAGCUAUCCAAGCAAUAUUUGGUGACUUUAAAACCUCAAACAAUAUUUGGUUAAGCCAAGAAUAAUGAUAUUGCAACCAAUGCAGUUGUUAGUUGGAGCUUUGAAUGAAAGUGCAUCUUUUGCCUUUUUUUUUGGUUGCCAUUACUUCAGUUAUGGCCCAAUAUAACUAUUUUUGUUGCUAAUGACUGGGUACAGAGAAAGGCAUCUCGAUUUUUCUCUUCCUGUUUGUAUAUUACAUUUCAUUAUAGUUUAACAGCUCCAACAGGCCAUACAACAAAAUAGUUUUUAAAAUGAUCCACAAGAAGGUGAAACCUAAUUAACUAGUUGUACUUAUUUCUCCUUUAUUCUUAUGUUGAUCAAGAAAGAUCCUUACUCCUCUUUCCUCCUUACAAAUCGACCCUGCACAAAACUUUUAGCUGAUAAGUAGAUUUCAUUUUACAAAGAAAGAAAUUAAAACAAAAGAUCUUUUUCCAUCGCAUCAUAACAUUGAACAACCAGUAAUAUGCAUGAAAGGUUGAAAUUGAACUUCAUGACAUGUCUGCAGAAGGGUCUAAUAUUUCUUGGACAUGGCAAAAUCUUUGAAACAACAAAAUAAGAUCAAACUUUACCAUGAGAAUUUACCAUGCAAUAAAAGACAUUUAGUUACAUUAAUAUCAUAAUAUUAGUAAUGAUAGAUGCUGCAAAUUUAAAGUUUGUUCUGCUCCAAUUUCACCAAAAUGACUAAAAUAUAUACCAAUAAUACUCUUAGGCAUAAUGCUCCCUAAUAAUGAGAGGAUAACAGUUGCUGUCAAUGAAAAGGAAGAAGUGGUGAAACUCAAAAAUAGCUGAAGCAUUGUCUUUUUCUAGGGACUGCAGUGUGGGCAUGUGAUAGCUUCCAGGUUAAAGUUUUCGAGCUAUGUUGCCUUUUAUAAAGUAUGUAGUUAUUGCAAAAAUCCAAGUGGCUGACAAUUGAGAUGAGGAAUCUUGCAGGAAUUGCCAACAAUGCAUAACUCAAUUGAUUGGCACCCCUCUAAAGGUUUCCUUAGUGGAGCUCCAGGCUUCAAAUUUGAACCCUGGUUGUGUUCUAUUACCACCAUAGAAGAAGAAGAAGAAGAAGAAGAAGAAGAAGAGAAAGUUUGUGGGGUAUUGGCAUAAAGCAGCCAUAGGCUCAACCUCAAAAGCCAGGUUGCAUCUUAUUACAGGUGUAUAUAUAUUUUAUCAAAAGAUAUAGAAUGGCUAGCGCACCAAACACAAUAAUAUGAAAGCAUGCUACCAAUGAAGCAAAGCACAGUGGAAACAACAUUUAGCAUCUAGUUUGGAAGCAAGAUAGGCAAUUUGGGGAUAAGUUAUGGUUAUCCUCAUGGGUAUCAUAAAUUCCAGGAUAAGGUGGGAUAAGUCAUUAUUUUUGUUUGGAUAAACAUUUUUACCCCAAUGUCGUGAUUAUAUUAUACCAUAUUGCAAAUAACAUAAAAAUGAUUACUGUUGGGUUAAAAAACAAAAAUAUCCUUAUAUUUAUGGUCACUCCUUGCUAAUACAUAGUUAUUUGGUCAUUUCACAAAUGUAGGUGAGAUAAAAGGUAGGGAUACGACCAAAAUGUCAAGGAUGAGAAAUUAAUGAUCUUUCUUCAGCUUGUUUGGUACCACAGCUCAUGAUACAUGUCAUAUAAAAUCUUAUAGCAAUUGAUUUUUUUGGGGAGUACUUUAUAUCAAUUGCAUUUUGACAUGUAAUCUUAAUUGUAAGAAAUUUCACUCCACUCAAUAUUGUCUUGGUACAUCCCUUUGAAUCAAACUUCUCUGUUUGCAAACUUUUAGAUAUUCAUUUAAAUAAUUUAUGUUAUGUUCAUGGUUUUCUCAAAGUCCUGUUUACAUAUAAAAUUUUACAAUAAUCAUAAUAAUCAAUGCUUGUCUUUAUGUUAUUCAAAAAUACCAAUUAAUCUAAUUGGAGAUCCAAAUUUAGAGAAACACAAAGUAAACAAAAUGCUGAAAAGGAUAUAAACAACCUUCCACUUUCUGUGGCCCUCUUUUUUCCCUUCUAUUUUGAGGAAAAAGGAUGGAACUCUAUCUACUUCAUUAAGAUAAUGAAGAAGUGCAGAGAGGAUUGCAAAAAAGAAGGGGAGGAGAGAAGGUCAAAGAGCAGGGUGGAGAUAGAUAGUACAAGCAAGAAGACACAAGAGUAGAAUUUUGAGUUGAUAUCUUCUGUGGCAGAAGAAUAGACCAGAUCUUGAAUAGAUUAAAGAAUGACCAUAAAUUCCUUGGUAUUGCUAACUUGCUUCAGGAAUACUUUUCUAUUUUCUUUUCCUUACUCUUCUUUCUUUUUGGGAACAUGGAUAACUUAAAACUACAUGAGUAUAAACACAUCCACAGUGGCCAUGAGAAAGGAUGUCAUGAGUAUUGUUCUCUGCAUCCAAAUGGCCCCAGCAAAGUGCAGCAACUAGUGGACUACUUGGUCCCAUGCUGUCUUGGAUUAUGAGAGCUCUUCUGUUUUCCUUAUUUUGGUCCAGAGAUCAUUUAACAUAUUUAGUUGGAUUGUAGUUUGUAAUGGUGACAGUUCUCCAAAUACCUAUCAAAACAGCAAUGGAGCACCAGAUGAUUAAUGUUUCCAAUGGGGGUAGGGACAGUAGGGCACCUCAAGCGCACCAACCAAUCCUUCUCAACAACUUCGCCACUAUGAAAAUUGUUUUCCAUGUUGUAAGCAGACAAAUGUCAAGGCAAUAUGAUGUUGGCCAUGGAUAUCUUGCACUAUGACAAUGCUUGUAGAAUUAUUGGAUAAAAUGGAUUUCAUUGAUGGUCAACAUAGAUUAGAAAUAAUUUUGUAAUUCAAAGAGGCAAGUCAGUGUGCAAAAUCCUAUUGUGUGUGUGUGUGUUUGUGAGAGAGAGAGAGAGAGAGAGAGAGAGAGAGAGAGAGGAGGAGGGGGGAAGGGGGGGAGAGAGAGAGAGAGANNNNNNNNNNNNNNNNNNNNGGGGGGCGAGAGAGAGAGAGAGAAGAUAAUUGUGCGUUUUUUCCAAUUUACUCUUAGAUUUCUGGAUAUAUAGUUCACUUCUUUAGUGUUUGAAUAGUAUACGAAGUCAUGAAUCAGACAGAAGUCCUGAAUUCUAACUGCAACCGUACAUACAUAUGUACAUACAUACAUUCAACCAUACAUACCUACAUAAAUAUUUUAUAAUCCAUUUCACAAGUGGAGCUGACCCUCACCUUAAGUACUUAUGCAGGGGAGAAAGGUUAUUUAUUAACAAAAGGGAUGGGGAGCAAAUCAGAGACCACACCAUGAAAGAGGAAGGAGAUGGCGGGGUGGAAGAAAGGAAAUCCACUCCAAUAUUAGUGGACCAGAAAUGGGAUAGAUACACACUUCAGAUAUCUCCUAUAAUGCCUUCAGACAGUCUCACCAAAUUACCAGUUUGAGUAUAAUCUUAGCCUUCCACCAAAGGCAAUAAUGAUCAAUCCAAACUGCAAAUUUGUCCUCAGGGUUGGUGAAAUUGUCCCGAAUACCGUUGGCUUACCGAUACGGUUCCGGCAAAAUGAAACUCGUUGCCUAAGCCGAAGAAGGAGAAAAAAAGAGAGCGAGCAGGGAAGAGAGGGAGAGGGCGGGACGUUGGCGGAGGGCCAGCAGAGGUUGCAGGAAGCAAGGCCGCAGCUGCUUCUCCUAUUUCGAGGGGAUCCGGCUGCAACCUUAAAAAUUUUUGCAUUUUUUAAAUGAAGUUGGCAAAUUGUGAUUUUUAAUGUGAUAUUUUUGUUCUUAACAUAAUAAAUUAUUAUUCUCUCAACUAAUAAGAGUGGCUAGAAUAAUAACUAAUAUCCUUGUAAUUGGUUGAGCAGUGCAAAUGUCAGAUGAUAACUAACUGCCGGUACUCCUGUUAUAUAGCAGUCACUAUAACAUGUCUAAUUAUUACCCAUAAUCUAAAUUCAUAUCACAUAUACGCAUACAUAUACGUACAUACAUACAUACAGAUACAUUCCCUCCCAUAUAUAUAUAUAUAUUGGAAUUUUUUCCAAUCAUAGUCCAAGAAACUGAAGUGAGCACUAAAAUGCUCUUGCUAAUUGCAUGCUUCAUGCAUAAUUAAACCGCAUUGAUGCCAUGUGACAUGGACUUGGAAAUUGGAGUCCAUAAUGUUAAUCGAACCGGAUGGUUCAACAUUAGAGAAGAGAAGGGGAACUUUCUUUUUUUUUUUUUGUAGUUUUUACCUUCAAUCGUGGGCGUUUCUCGGCGUUGAGCUUCCGAACCUCGUAACGGAUCUGCUUGGAGAAGUGCCGACUCCUCCUCUUCUCCUUGUAACGCAUCACCCUCGCUUCCCUGUUCCCCACCUCCUUCCCCUCCAUCCGAUCACUCUCCGGAACCCUCCAUCCCGUGCACCCAACUUCCACGAAAACCUGCCAUCAAUCAUCAAAUCCAUCCAUCAUCGCAUCCGACGGCCCGGAUCUACUCAUUAUUCUAUCUUCACUCACCGGAGAGGCGGUACGGUGGAGCUCAGGAACGAUUUGAGGUCCCUCCCCAUCGAUGUAGAGGGAUCCCCGAUCGGACCAGGCGGUGAGGACCUCCUCGUAGUCCAGCUUAAGCAAGGGCGCCUGCGGCGCACCGCGCCAUAGAUCGACGCCGGCGCCGCUGCUGGCGACCUCCUCCUCCGACGAGGAGGCGGCGGAGGAGCAGCAGUACACCCACCGCUCCCGCCCACGCAGCACCCUUCGGGCCAGCCCGUCCUCAUCGCCGUCCCACACCGCCGACGACGACACCGGCGACGAUCCGUCUCCGGUGGAGGCGGCGCCACCGAGGAGGGCGGUGAGGGUGGGCUCCCCGCCCCCGCCGUCGUCGUCGUCGAGGAGACAGGAGACCGGGGGCUCCCUGUCCAGGAGCAGGAGGUGCUCCGGGUGGAGCGGGAAGAGAUCCAGCUGCUGGCACUCGGCCACCCCGGCAUCGGCGGCUGGGCCGGUGGGGACAGAGGCCAUCUCCGGCGGCGGGGGGGGCAGCUGCCGGCGUAGGCUGAGGAAUUUGGGCCGUCGGAUCUUGGUUCGGGAUCGCCGGUGCGCUGUGGAUCUCAUCGAGCUCCGUUCCGACCUCAGCUCUUAAUUUAAUAAUUUUCUUUUUGGACAAAAAAGCAGAGACCAUCCUAGAAGGGAGGGCACUUUUUCCAGAAGGCUGGAGGAUGGGAAGCUGACGUGGAGGAGUUUUGACACGUGGAGAUACUUGACUGGUGAUUUCGGGGUUUAUCCGGAUUUCCUUGCUCCUGGGGGAUUUCACGGGAUCGGGUGAGAAUAAUGCCGUUGGGGAGAGGGAAGGUUGGUAAAAGCGUGGCGGGAAAGGAGGGCAUUAAUGCGACAACGGAAUCCGGUGGAAUAUGUCACGAGAAUUAUGGGGAUACUGGGAACUUGUUGGGGUUUAUCUGAUUGUGAUCUGACCGUUGGAUUAGGAUCGGACGUUGGCAAGUGGACCAGGGGAUGCAGGUGUCUAGUCUUGUCUUAUUUUGGUGCUGCCAGCGAGCAAUACCUCCAUGUCAUGCUUCGGAAAGCGACGUAACAGAUGAUUUGGCACCAUGUUAUUGGCCAGGAUGUCGCAUGAUGCAUGGGGUGUGUUAGAUUUCAUAAUCAUUUAAAUUUAUAAAAUAUUUUGUACUAUUUAAUAUAUAUAUUUUUUUGGUACAAAAAUUGUCCGACUACCCAGGAUAAUAAAUGAUAAAGAAUGCGACACAGCCUGUUGUCUUGUUCCUGAAAUGAGCCAUAAUCUCUUGUCAACCUUUAGAUAUCUUUGAGCAACAGGUGGCCAUCAUCCCACCGCUCUACCUCUCGAAUCCACUCGAUUAUGUAACAGAGUCCCUUUCUAUGAUGAUGUUGUCAGCUUCUAGAGCAAUCCUUGCUAAAAAAAUAAAAAAUUAUAAACUAAAAAAUUAAAGUUUAGAAAAUAAAAAUUAUAAUUCAAAAAAAUCACUGAUUAUUUUGUAAAAAUUCUGGAUGUGAACUUUGAUAAUUGCUUAUGGGUGCGGUUGAAAUUCUGUCAUGUUUCUAUAAUUUAUUAAUAUUAUUUUUAUUAUCAAAUAUUUUUGAUAUUAUGAAUUUGUUAAAUAUAUAUGUAUGUAAUUAUGCAUAAUUAUAUGUGUGUAUAGAUACACAGGGUGGUGUUCAUAUGUAUAUUAUAUAUACAUAAAUACAAACAUAUCAUAAAACUAUACAAAAGCCCUGAAAACUUUUGUAUUUUUAACAUACAUGGAUUCUCCAUAACCAUUUGUCUAGACUACCAAUUCCUGACUAUACGAAUCUCAAUAUUGCUCUUAGCAUGAUAUAGGCUGUUGCUCGUGCUAUAGCAUAUUUCGUUUAAAAAUAAUUUCAGAUCAGUUUUUCUUUUUUGGAAAAGUUCAAUCAUUAAUGCUUUUUAUUUGAAUUUGUUCUCGAAGAAGAGAUGCAAUGCCGAGUCAAGGCUAAGGAUUUGCAAAAUUUUAAUGGGACUGGCUCGAAGACCUAGCCCAAACGGUGUAAAAGUUGGUAUGCAAGCGAAGUUGCAUUUAUAGAUUCCUUGAGUAGUAAAAUGUUGGAUUUGAAGGUGCACUUAUGCCGUGCAUGCAUGCAUGCUUAGCUUGGCCGGCCAUGCCAUGCAUGUGUGAGAUGCAUAUAUUGUGAGAACAAGCCAUGCCGGGUUGGGCCAACCACGUGUAUAUAUUCGGUUGGCUCACUCAUAUGAACUAUUUGACUUCACCUAUUCGAAGAUCUAUUAUAGUUUUAUUCUAGGCUUAUUUGUAGAAAUUAAGAGAAAUAUUGAGUUAGCUAUUAGAGUGGCUUUUAUUAGCUUAGUUGGAGCUUUGUUAAAUGGGUAGUCAUUGGAGCUUAGUUGGAGUUACUUGGACUGGACUCUGAAUAUAGACCCUAGGUCAAGGUAAUCAUCACAUGAAUUAGAUUAUGCUCUUCUUAUUCAUGCGAAUGGCCUCUACCUCUUCAUUCUUCCAACCUGCUUAUAUUUCUAUGAUAUUCUUUGCUAUUUUUCCAAAAAUAACUUACCUUAUUUGCUAAAAGAAGCCUAACUCCGUAGUGUGGAGGUUGAAGAAAAGUUGGAAUUAUGUAUGACAGCAUUGCAAGAUGGUUGGCCCCAUCCUAUUUAUGAGAACUUUCAUGGUAUACCUCAUGCUUGCAAUGAACUGGCACUUCGGUUUGGUUAACCAUACUUACCAUGCCAUAUCAUAACAUGUCAUAAGUUCGCCAACCAUUCAAAUUAUUAGACUAUCCAAUGGUCCCAACUUGAACAACCCAUCUCUAAUGGUCCAACCUUCUUCAAAGUUCUAAUUAUCAACAAGUUUGGUGUAGGAACGGUUUGCUUCCAAACUAUCAUAAAAGCUUACACCUUUUGUCCAGUUCAUCCUUGAUAAUUAUGAUCCAAUAAAGAAGAGACUCAUAAACUAUUAACCUUCUAAUAAUUAUAAUUCCAAACUCCAAAUAUAGAAAAUCUAACCGAUCAUCUCUCUCCUCCCCAAGUUGCUCUUCUUAUAAACCACGAUCUUCUCCUAUUGGCACUAGCAACUUAUACCAAACCCAUACCAAGAUGGCCCUUAAUUCCCAAGUUGUGAUCCUCCUCCUCCUUCCUUUCCUCCUUUUAUCCUCUGCCAUGGCCUUUAACAUCACAAUGAUUCUUGAACCAUUCCCUGAGUUCGCCACCUUCAGCAACUACCUCAGCCAGACAAAACUUGUUCAUGAAAUCAACCACCGUCAAACUAUUACUGUUCUCGUUGUUGACAACUCUAGAAUGUCUGCAAUCUCCUCCCUCCCCGAAGAAAGCCUCAAGCAUGUCAUGGAAGUCCAUGUCAUCUUAGACUAUUAUGACAUUACAAAGAUCAGUAGCAUACCGCGCAAGAACUUCCUCCUCACCACCCUCUUUCAAACCACCGGCAUUGCUACUAGCAGAAUAGGGUUCUUGAACCUCAGUCAUAAGGCUGGCAAGUCGGUGGUGUUUGGGUCCGCCGUCCGAGGAGCCCCACAUACCUCAAUCUUGAUUAAGAAGAUUGUGACAAUGCCAUAUAAUAUUUCAGUGCUUCAGAUUUCUGAGCCCAUCAUUCCACCUGGCAUUUAUGGUGCACCACCUAUCGCCCCUAUAUCGGCCCCACCAAAGAAGACCGAUCCCUCGGUGGAGGCUCCAGAGGCAGACGAUACUCCUAUAGAGUCUCCAGAAGAUAGCAUUGUUGAUGCCCCUGCAGACGCUCCAAGAGAAAGUGCCGAAACUCCUGCUGACUCUCCAAAAGCAGAUGAGUCGGUCUCAGAUGUACCUAAGGAGUCAUCUACCUCACGCAAGAAAGUAAUUGAUGCGUCCGCAAAUACAUCUUUGAGCAGCCGACUAUCAAUUGGUGCUAUCCUCAGACUUGUCAUGGGCAUUGUAUUCUUAAGAGCUCUUUGAGUCAUUUGAGUUGGUUGAAAUGGAUGAAUGAAAUUUACGUGACAUCAAUCAAAUACACUUGCAGUCAACAUGUGCAAUUCACUAGUUCAAUAGUAAUAUCCAUUGGAUUAAAUCCCUUAAAGUUGUCUAACUUGAUUAUAACUACUAAUCUAAUAGCUAGAGUAAUUUGUGUUUGUGUGACAAGAAAAACGACUGACUAUUUAAUGGAUGGAUUCUUAUUACCCAUUUGUAGUAGGAUCGCCAUAACAAUCAAAAGAGCUCUAUCCUUCAAGCUUUCUACAUGAUGGGCUCGAAGGUUGUGCCAAUAUAUCACGUCGUAUUGAUUCUCAGGAGUCAUGAUAUCAUCCCUUAACAUCACCUCAAACACA
rnacentral:lncRNA from 1 species